rnacentral:lncRNA from 1 species
UUUUUUUUUUUUUUUAUAUAUAUAUAUAUAUAUUUUUGUACAAGGGAUCAAUGCAAAUGCUGCUUUUAUUGCAAGAAGAUUAUUAUCUUUUGUCCAUCUCCAAAAUUGACCAUACGAAUGAUUCUCGGAUCCAUCUUUUGGGCCCUAUGAUAUCAGAUGUGAAGCGCCGUGUUGGAUUGGACGUUUUUCCCGAAGAUGAAUGUUAUGGCAUAAAUCCCGGCUGAGUUUCCGUGUGGAUUGACUAUAUUUUUCAAAAAUAAAAUUUUUAAAUAUAAUGCUAUAAUAAUACACAAAUAAAAAUAAUUCAACAAACAUCUCGUUCAUACAAUAUAUCAAAUAUUUUUAAAAAUACUUAUAGUAAAAGUUUUCAUAUAUACUGCUAUAGUAAAAUUUUUUCAAAAACAGUUAAUCCAAACGGAACAUACAUUUCGGUUCACACAGGUUGGGCGGUCCAACUUUAUUCUAUUUCAAAAGUUAAAGCUAAAAAAAAAAAAAAAAGGGCCGGGGUGGGGGGGGGGGUGGGUUAAAACAGAUACUAGUACUUAUGUAGCAAAGGUGUCUAAUUGGCGAUAAUUCUGGUGGAGCCGAGCCAUAGAUGGAGAAAAAGGGCAUCUCUCUAUCUUAAAAGAGAUUUGUGGGUAUUCUCAAGCCACCAGGCAAUUCCUCAUUUGCACAUUUACUUAAUGAGAACAAAAGAUAAAGAAGAUUUUCCGUUAGCUCUCGUGUUUAUUGGAUGGUUAGACUUUGAUAGUUUGUGCCUCCAUUGGAAGCAAGAGGAGAGAUGAUCAUGAUUACUUGUUUGUGACGUCUACAGAGAUCAGCAGUCACUCCGAAUGAGUAAUUGCUAAUUAGAACGUCGUUUUUUACAAAAAUUUUUGCGUUUUUUUUAUAAAUAUAUUUUUAAUUAUUAUUUUAUUGUAUAUAUAUAUAUCAAAAUGUUUUAAUAUACUAUAUUUUUUAUAAAAACUUUUAAAGAUAACAUCAAAACUUGCUAAUGGCUCUGAAUAAAUAUGUCACUCUGAAUGUUGACGACGAGCGUUAGUAUUAAAAAUGUUCAACAAUACAAACCAAUUUUUAUAUUCACAUGCCCCACAUGCACCAUACAUACAAGGGGAUUGCAAUUUUUGGGAAUUUUUUUUUAGAAAUUUAGGAUGAUAUUAUUAUUCUUCCUAUAAUUUUUUAAUUACUUUUCAGCCUCAUGCACGUCACAUUUCGCCAAAGUGUUACCGCGUUAAUCUUCUGGAAAACACUCCAAAAAAAAAAAAAAUUAAUUCUUCAAUUCGUUAUAUCCAUUGGUACACCACAAGUUCAAUUAAUUCUUCAUUUAAGAAGAAGAAAAAAAAAAAAGAAAACAAAUUUCAAGUGACAAAUGUCUUCCAGCACCAGAAGGUGGCAGAAUUCGCAUCUUUUCAAGACAUAAAGUCAAAAGUGAAAAACUUCGAAGGCACACAACGAAGCACAACCAACCGCGGAAUACCCACAGACCAAAGCCUCCGCAACUUCACACAAAUCCAAAAAGCUCUUCUUCUUUCUCCAAAAGCCCAAAAAACAAAACCAAAACCCCAAACCAAGCAACCGAUGCGAUGAUUAGUUUUCACCAAUUUACAUUAUGUAGUUUUCAUUUACAAUUGACCGCUUAUAUACAGUUUGAUCUCACUCCUUUUUCCCAUCUAUUUUCUUUUUCAUCAUCAGACUAAAAUAUCUCAGAACUAGUGCCGUGGUACGUACUAAUAAGUAUGUCUUUUCUUUGCAAGCCCCCCCUUUUGCAACCACCGCUAACCGGUGAUGAGACGGUGGCAUGGCCUCCCCAUGUGGCAUGUUGUAGACAUGAUGCAGCAGCUACUAAGCAACUGACACAUCAGAAGACGCCCUGGCAGUGGCAGCAGCAGCAGCAGCAGCGGCGUUGCCGGAUCUUGGUUGCCGUAGGAGCCCAAUCAGCAUCUCCGCCUGCCACCAAAUCAAGCAUACGCCCCACAAACGACAAAACAAUGUGACGAUAAUAAUAAUAUAUUAUUAUUAUUAUUAUUAUUAAAACACCAUGCACAUAAACAAUAAUAAUAAUAAUCAAUGAAGGAAGUUUGUAAAUUGAAUGGCUAAUAAUUCCAUCUGUCAAAUGCUAAUUAUGCUGCUGAAAUUACAUUCACUCACUCUUUUUUUUUUUUUUUAAAAAAAAGUUAACGCGGGGCGGGGUAUUAUCUGUUCCAAAUCCAACGAACACGAAAAAGAGAACAAUUCGCCGAUUUCCUCCUUGUCAUUUCACCAAAGCCACAUUUAUUAUUAUUAUAUUGCAUUCCCCAUAAAGGAAUGGUUGCUCCCACCAAAAUUUUACUCUUCUUAGUAGGGAAAGAUACCAUCUUUUUUGUUCCUCCACUCGAUUUCUUAGCCCACCUUCCUUCCUAUUCAUUAGACGGCUACUUAACUUUCAAUACAAGAAAAUCUUCUCCUUAAUCAUGUUUCAUCUUUGAUUAAUUACUACUACAUUUACUAUCCCUCAAUUAAAGUAUCUUCCCACUAACUUAACUAACGUCACGAUUAAAGUAAGGCUACAUAUUCCACCAAAUUUUUAACUACAUAAAUUAAGCAGCCACGUUUUCUUCCCACUUGUCGCAAGUAACUAUUAUAUUUUUCACACCGACCAACCCCAAAAAAAAAAAAGAAAAAAAAAAUCUUUUUUUUCCUUCAUGGCAAGCAAAAAGCUUUUCUUUUUUUUUUUUACACCCAAAGAAGAACUUUCAUGGCAAAAGUUUGCAAAAUAAUAAUAAUGACGUGGCAGAAACUAGAGGUGAAACAAUUGCAAAAAUUCUUUUUUUUUUUUUUUCAAAUUACCUUUUGUUUAGCCCGACUAGUUCCGGUCUGAGACAGAGCGACCAGAGGAGGAAUAGCUCCUUCCCGCGCCACCAUAGUCCGGUAACUCAAGCCGUCUUCACACAGCUGCAAUAGUAUAGCCACCGCAAUCUCCUUCUGCCGUUGAGUCCCAACUUCCACAAUCUCCACCAGCACCGGAAUCCCACCUUCGUCCACUAGCGCCGCCCUGGCCUCCGCCACCGAUACCAGCAAGCUCAAAACAAACGCUGACUUGUCCACCAUGUUCGACUGAAAGUCCGCCAUCAAUUCCACCAACGGCUUCAUUAUCCCAGCUUGAACAGCCCUCACCUUGUUAUCUUUCACCGAACACAACGAAUAAAGCGCCGUCGAUGCAUCCUUUUUCCCCCGAAAAUUCCCAUUUUCUAGAAGGUUCACUAGCGGCGGUAUCGCCCCCGACCUCCCGAUAGCGGCUUUAUUCGAAUCAACUUGCGACAGUCUUAGUAAAGCACAAGCGGCGUUUUCUUUGGCCGCGGGGUUUCCCACUUUCAAAGCUCUAAUCAGCGGCUUUAUGGCACCGGCGGCAGCCAUAACCUCCUUAUUUUCGUCGCAGAGCGAGAGGUUAAGAAUUGCAGUGACGCCGUACUCAUGCAGCUGAGAGUCGGUGGAGGAAGAAAUGAUAUCAAUCAAGGGUCUGAUGGCGCCAGCCUCGGCAAUCUUAAUUCGAUUCUCGGGUUUGUUUUUGGCGAGGAGUCUGAGCUCCAAGGCGGCUUGUUUUUGGUCUUCAGGGGAGGGAGAGUUAAGAUCGGAGACGAGCUGGCGGAUCAGUUCGUCAGAGGAGCUGUUGUUGUUGUUUUCGGAGGAGGCGCAAGCGAUAAGUAGACGUCGGCUCUGGGAAGAAGCGGUGGGGAAUUCGCCGGAUCUGUCGCUGUUGCAGUCGCUGAAAGCUGAGGAAGAACCAUCGUGGAUGCUGAGGCCGCUGAAGCUUCGCCCCAUAUAGGUAAAACUAUUGGACUGGACCCCUGUUUCCAUUUCUAGUGCAAAAAAUGGGAUUAGUACAUCAAGAAUUAGGUGGAUGGAGCCUGGAGGAGGGGAGGUGAAGACCGAAAACGACAGCGUUUGAGGUUGUAUGGGCCCUUUUGAGGUAGUUACCUGUAUAAGACCUAGCUAUGAGUUGAUCAUAACCAUUUUCAUGGAGCUAGCCAGCAAGGGGGUGUGGAGUUCAGGGGGAGUGGGGAGUUCAAUAAAAGGCAAAGGCAGGGGAAGAAAAGAAUAUGAAUAAAUAUUCGGUGAGUGGGUUUUACAUAUACAUAUAUAUAUAUAUAUAUAUAUAUAUAUAUAUAUUUGUAUAUAUUAUAGGUUGUUUUUGUGGGGCUGAUGUUGGGUUUGUUUGGAAGGGGAAUGCUUUCCGGGGGACAGAGGUGGUAUUGGCCUUUUUUUCUUUUUCUGACGGUUAGAGGGUGGGAAGGAGGACACGUGCAGAAGCGUAGAGAAGAGCACGUGUGAAGAUUUUCCAGAGUCUGACUUGUUUUCUUUUCACGCGUGCAUGGAAAGAAGGUUCGUUAUUCGAUGGUUGCUUUGGGAAAGUCUCUCCCAACAUCCCCCGGUCGUCCCAGGUCUCUCUUGUUUUCUUUAGUUUGCUUUAGUUUUUUGCCUUCUCUCGUCUCUCGGGUUCAUUCGAUUUUCUUUUUCGAUUGGAUUGGUAAAGCUGCUCAUCAUGGAUAUACAAACGUAAAACAUGAAUAAACAAACGUAGGGGGUUUUAGUUAGGAUUACUGUGGGAAUCAUUUGAUAAAAAUAAACAUUUUAGACGUUUAUCUCUCGUCAUUACUCGAUAAUGACUUGGGUUUCAAAUUAAUUGAUUCAUUACUAGAUUGAAAUGAAAUAAAUCCGUUGUGAUUCUAAACCAAAAAGUGUAAAAGAGACCCUAGUGGGGUUUAUGAUUCGAAUUCCAACUUUACUCGGGUUUUGAAAUUGAUUAGCGAAUUAAUAUGGAAUUGACUUGAUGACAAAAAUAACACACUACUAACGGUUGAGGUUCCGAUCUAGGCUCAAAACUUUUUGACUCAAUUGAGCGCAAAACCAAAAAGACGCACAAAAACAUCAAAUUUUUCACUUUUAUUCAAUUUUUUCUUGCUUGCACGAGCUUAAAACUUUGUUUGGAUUGCAUUUUUCUGAAUUUUUUUUUUUAAAAAAAAUUACUGUAACGAUUUGAUAUAUGUGAAUUGUGAUGUAAAAAGGUAAUCGAAAAAUGUAUUCACGGAAAACGGAGCAAUUUUCUUUUGACUAUCCAAACAAGGCCUAAGACGUAGUUCAAGUUCAAAGAAGAAUUCAAACCAGACUUGUACAAUAUAAUAUUAUAUUAUGGCGUUCAUUUCACUUAGAUUUGUCCGCGGCCAUAACUUUCGCGGUAGAGAUUUCAAAUCUCUUGUUUCAACUAUUACAAAUGUCAAAUCCCUUAUUUGAAAUGGCUUAACAAUUCAAGUGAGAAGAAGUAUGAGCUUAUAGAUUUGACAACAAAUUAUUCAAUCCAAAAAGCGACUGUUUUCGAAUAUUCAAUUUAGCCAAGGUGGUAGUGUCAGAUGUACUUAUCAAAUUCUAUAGUAUUUGACAGAGCGGUUGAUGGAAUGGAAGUCUAUUUGAGAUGCAAACUCAACUUUUUAAUUCGUUCCAAAAAUUACAUGUUUAGCUAGAGUUACACAUAGAUGAAUUUACGUAUACCUAAUUCUUCACUCGGGUAAUUAUAUCUUCAAAAACUAGUUAGUUGUUAAAUUGCUAUCGCAGAGCAGAGGGAAGAAGCUGCAUGCUUUUCUGGGAGGGAUGUUUAAAAUUUUUUGGAGGACCAAACUCCUAUCCAAAUACACUACUCUUACCUUCGAUACAGAAAUUUAAUUUACGUCACAUGUACCUAAAACCGGAGGACAUUUCUUGCUAGUUUAUGUGCCACGAAAAUUAUCGAAAAACAGUCGGAGUGACCGAUCGAAAACUGGUAUUGCUAAUGCAAAAGUUGACAUCUUGCCCAUAAAACAGUUUACUUCUUCAAAUUUUUCUAUCUUCAACCGUUGACUUCUGUCUCUUAAAUCAAGCUGCUCGUUUAAGAACUCAAGAGUCAACUAUUUCUAGAGCAUAUAGAAGAGGGGUACAUAAAUACCAAUAUAUAUAUAUAUAUAUAUAUAGAAAAGAAAAAAACCAUGAGUUUCCAACCGGUGGUUGCAAACUCAAAAAAUUGUCCAGCAAUAUUUUGCGAGUUAGGAUGAGGGGUAGUAUUCUACUCCAUCCGUUCCAAUUAUUUAGUCAUAUUUCGAGAAUCUAACUUUUUAAAAAUAGUAGUUUUAUUGUAAUAUUUAUGCUUCUCUUUCCAAUUUUAAUCCCACAAAUUCAAAAUUUAACGUACAUAUGAUUAGAAAGAAGGGUUAUAUUAGAAGAAGAAAAAAAAAAAAACUACAACAUGUUUCAACUUUUUGAACAUGACAAAUGUUUUAGGACUCCCCAAAAUAACAAAUAUGAUAUUUUCGAUAGUACAGAGGAAAUAUUUGGGAUCUCUUGUCGAGUAGUAUCAAUGAAGAAUGAUAUUGUAUUAUAUAGCCAACUAUGUGUUUGUUAUAUGAUCCACUUCGUCCUAUUUCAUUUUCAUAUUAGUAUAUACUACUUAAUAGUUAAUCGUUAUACAUUUGAAAACGGUACACUUAAGUUUGUUUUCACAAAUGCAAUUCCUCAAAUAUUCUUCCUCGAAAUCGAAUAAAACGAUACUAUGAAUUUGAAUAGUUCAAAAACGUUUAAUUGACUACAACAACUCACUUCGUUUCAAUAACGUGUGACUCAAAUUAAAGAAAUAAAUGACCAUUUAGAAGGGGAAAAAAAAAAAAAAGGAACGAACAACGCAUUCAACACCAAACAAAUCCACAUCGAAAGCGCUUCCUUCAAAAAAGGCCAAAGUUGUGGUUUCUUUCCUUGUAUGGGUAUAUUUUUCCAUAGGAAGCCAUCUCAAUCUGAUGAUGAUAUCAUUUAAAUUCUCCGUGUGAGGACCUGGUAAGAAGUAAACGGCUGUGCAAGACGAGAAGCAAAAAAAAGGAAACAUUAGCUACCAACAUUGAAAAUUGUUGUACUUACAAGAUAACCGAAAGUUCAAAACAGCUCCGGUGCAAGUUCUUGAUCAAUUCUUCCUUUUUUCAGCUAUUGACAUCAACAUCUCUGGUAGACUCUGUGUGAUUGAAGAGCCAGACAAGUCUUCGGAAGUUAGAGCUACGGAAUGGAUACACUACAGUGCAUGAGAUCAGUUUGAGGGAGCCACAGCAACUCAACCAACUUGGGAAUAAAACUAGUGGUGCUGCCAUGAUCAUGAUCUGCAUAAUUACUUUCUGUUUAUUAAAUGUGCAUGGUGCCAUUAAGAUGCUUUUAUUGCAUUUUAUUAUGGAACUGUCUAGUCAAACAUCAUUGACAAAAUCAUCUCCCACAAACCUUACAAUUUUCUCCGACCUCAUUGAUUGGUUUUGCCCGCAAGUGAAACUUUAAGCACGGUUUGAGUGAGAUUUUUGUACGGAUGAUACAAAAUUAAAGAAUUUUUCUGGAUUUAGGCACAGUUUGGAAAAUUGCUGUCCAAACAAGGCCUUAGUUAACUUUUAAUUUCUCUAAAAUAUCCUUAUUUAAUAUAUUUUGUGAUAUAUAAUCUACUUUAUUUAAUAGAGUUGACUUUCGAUAAAUAAUUGCUUUGGUUCAUGCAUUGAAUGGUGCAAUUUUUCAUCAAUAUUGUUAUAAUAAUUUAUGUAAAGGUAUAAUGAUUAAUCAUCCUCGUAAGGCUAUUUUACAAAAACAGUAUAUUGGAUUUACUCUUUUAACAAAAUUAACUAAUUUUUCUUAAAUUGUGUGGGAGUAGGGAUGCACUCGAGCCAAGCCGAGCUCAAGUAUUGCUCGACUCGAGCUCUGCUCGACUCGAGCUCGGCUCGACCUAUAUGUAACUAGACUCGGGCUCGGCUCGAGCUCGAUCGAGUCUAAAAAUCGCAACUCGAGGCUUGACUUGAGAAAAUUUUUUUAAGCUCGAGACUCGACUCGAUAAGGCUCGACCAAAGGUCAAGCCUUAUCAACUCGAGUCUAAUCCAGUUUUUUGCCUCAACUCGGAAAAUGUACACUUGUAAAUUCAGUAUAAAUUAUACCUAUAACGUUCAUUUUAUAAUUAUAAUACAUGUAUAUUAUUUAAAUUAUAUAUAUAUAUAUUAAUUAAAUAUAUCCGGCUUGACGAGUAGCUUGUCGAGUCACAAGCCGCAAAUUCCUGACUCGAACUCGAAUAUUCGAGUAGCUCGAGACUUGGUUCGGACUCGAUUUGACCGAGUUCAAGCCAAGUCAUCGACCGAGCUACUCGAUAGUAGCUCGAUUCGCUUGCAUCCCUAUGUGAGGGUGGGACGGAGGGAGUAACAAAAUGUGUCUCGAAUGUUGCAAAAAUUUAAUAGAUAAACAACAAGAAAAUUUCUUCAGGUUCUUUUGUUUUUUUUUUUGUUUACGGUAUUAUUACUGGCGAGGAAGGAAGUUAUCAAGCAAUUCUGCGAAGGGAAUUUUUUUCCAUUUAGACCACACUACAGCAAAAGCAAUUAAACAAAACAACCCAUGCUGCUUUUAAUGGGGUUUUGUUCACACUUGUCAAAUAAAGAUAUCAAAACGUGUGAGCUGAAAAUUGUAGGCAUUGCAUUUUGCUUUUUCCAUUUUUUUUGGGCUCCCCUCAAUCGGGCAGCUUAAUUUAAUUGUAUUCAUCCGUUAGCUAGUGGGCACAAUUCGCAAAAGAUAAGCCACAAGGGAAAACUUUUUACCCAAAUAAAUUAUUUGCGGACCUAACAGUGGAGACACGCAAUUAAUGGCAUUCCGAAGCUUUUGAAUGGACCAAUUCCUUUUGGAUUGAAAAUUUUAAGUGAGCCCAACAACCAUCUCUGAGAAAGGUGGGCAACCGUCAAUUUCCAGAUACCUCAGCCAAUACUUCUAGUUUCUUUCUCAUUUUUUUAGUUCUCCUUUUUCUUUUCUAGUUUUGGUCUAGUUCCCUUUUUUUUUUUUUUUUUUUGGUGGUUGGGGGUGGUGUUGGUUGGGCAUAGGGGUGCAUAAUGUUAUCUAGAGUUAAAUGUACUUCAAGGCUUUUUUUUUUUUUUCCAUAGUAUUUCUUUCAUUCUUCUUAAUUUACAUUAUUGGCUUGGACCCUGAAUCAGAAAUCGCGUAUCCAAAAUAAUCAAACUAUUUGUUUGGAUUGUACAUUAUUUACACACAUUGAUUUGUUUGUACCAUCAACACAUUUUUUUAUUUUACAUAUAUCAUAUUUAAAAAAAAGUGCUAUAAUAUUAUUUUUAAAUAAUCAUUUCAAAUAACCUCCUAUACAAACACACUAAAUACUCUCACGAACCUGGCUGGCGUUCAUUUUCCAAUCACAUUCCAUUCGAACAUCCAAUGUGGUGAUGCUAUUGUGGGAAUCACAAUAACUCCAUUCAAAAAGCUUCUUAAGACUGACUAAGGCCUUGUUUGGAUAGCAAUUCUCCCUACGUUUUCGGUGAACACAUUUUCCAAUCACCUUUUUAUCUCACAUAUAUCAAAUCGUUACAGUAAUUUUUCUACAAAAAAAUCUAGAAAAAUGCAGUCCAAACACAACCUAAUAAGUAUUCAUAUAAAAUAUUUGAAAAUGGCUUUUAUGUCGAAAUAGGAAACUCGCAAAAGCAAGUGAGCACUGAUUUGCAUUCUUAACCAAAAGAAGAUAGUAGUUUCAUUUGGAAUCACUCCCUUUCGGUCGUAGGAACUAAGUAAACUAAUGUCACAUUUUGAUGGGAUAUAAGAGACAGCUACACCGCCUAAGUGGAGCUCAGACACCUUAACCAUUAUCAUUAUCUUUGAUCACUCGAAGCAUUUGAUUAGUUGAAAAAUCAGAACCAUAGACCAUACUUGUUCGUUAAGCAAUGGUCGAAUCAAUUGAUAUACAACUGAUAAGGCUUAUCUACUAAUUUGAGAAGGUGGAGUUCGAUAUCUCUUAAAUAAAGUUUCAAAUUCAAAUUUUGUGAUCAGAAAAUAUAAUAUUAAUGGAGCCGUCAAAAAAGAUAUCCCGGAAUCGAGCAAAUCUUAUGGUUGGAGAAUAUAACACUAAUAUAAUAGUGUCCUCCGGAAAUAUUCCCUGUUGUGCUCGACCCAAUGUGAUCACCCCGCGUCCAUCCGAGCUUUGAUCACAACUUCUUUUAUAUCCCGAUGAGGAUGCCCGCAACCAACCCAUCCUAGGCCUAAGUCAGGCCCAGCCCAAUAAAAAACUCCAACUAUCGUCAGAUCAGCGAAAACACAAGACGACAUCGUCUGAGCAUCCUUCUUGUCCGACAGGAAAUUGCCGGUGCCAGCAUCCCCGUAAGAUUAUGAUACAUCUUUUCGGGAAAGACAACAGAUAAGAAAAGGUUUAAAAAAAAAAAAAAAGGGUUGAAACCCAACAACACAACAGUUUUCCUAUAAUCCAACCCCACAAGAAUCUCUCUUAAUUCUAAUUCACACCACCAGAUUCUUCGGAAUCGUCGAACUCACCUUCGACAAAAGGGAAAAAAAAAAAAAAACAACGCUGCGACCAUGAGUAGUAGAGGUCCAGGCCUCUUCUCCGACUUCGGCAAGAAAGCCAGCGGUAAACAAAGAAAAGAGAAAAAAAAAACAGUUAAAGCGGUUGGAAUUCACUUUUUUUUUUUUGGCUCUGAAUUAAUGGAAGUUGAAAAUUUUGCAGAUGUACUGACUAAGGACUAUAGUACUGAGCAGAAAUUCUCCCUCUCUUCCGAGAGUGACGCGGGAGUGGUAUGCACCGCAAUAUUAUUAUUAUUUUGAUGUUUUGAACCGAUAUAUUCUACUUCUAUUUAAUUUUGAUGGGCAUUGAUUUUUUUUUUUUUUUUUUUUUGUCUUUAAAUUAUGGAUACUAGUAUUGAUUGAUAAAGAUGGAAAAGUUUGAGAGGACUGGGAAGUUAAGAAGGUCACAGAAUAAUAUGGAUAGUAGUAAUUUGGAGGGGGUGGGGGUGGGGGUGGGGAAUUGCAUUUUGGGCUUUUUUUAUUAAUUAAAAUGUCAGCUUCAAUACGUUACUUUUACUUCUAUGGCUGAUUUUGAAGUAGAAACUUUGUGAUGUGCAAUUAGCUAGUCUGUGGAAAGUGGAAACUUUGUUUUUGUGAUGUGCACUUAGCUGGUUGGCAACAGAUUUUGGUGAAAUGGAAACUAGUUUCGAUUUUGGAGGAUUAUUCUACUUAUAUAUGAUAAGAAAAUUGGUAGCAAAAUGUAUGGUCUGACUCAGUUUAGAUUGUUCCACCAUUGUUCAUUCUUUCUUGCUUUGAGCUGUUCUGCUGAAAUAUUGAUGUUGUUCCUCUAUUUCCAAGUUCAUUCUUUUUACCUUGAGGCAAGGUAAAGGGUGGUUUUUUUUUUUUUUUUUUCCCUUUCUUAUUUAGAGUUUAGCGAGUGUUUUGUUCAUCAUCAGUCCAGUGUGAACCAAGUUCUACAUGUAUGGUCAUUGAAGUGAUAUCAUUGAAGUUUCACAAUGCCCUGGUACUGGGGUCAUAUUACUGUUUUCUUGUGGAUUAACUGCUACCCUUCAGAAGUCUCAUACAGUAACCUAUUAAAGUCUAUCACCCUAUAUGAAUAUCCAUCUAGUCCUCAAAUUGUCGUGCGAUUUUAUUUUACAUAUAUCAGAGAGGUUUCAAAUGGUAACUCUGUCUUGUUUUCAAUAAUUUGGCCACACUUCUUCCUGAAUAGCCCAAAUUUGUUGCUUGCUUGAACUUUUUAUUUUAAAUUUCCUGUGUCAGAUUGCAAAUACUUAUCCAACAUUUACUCAUUGCUGUUCUGUUGUGUUGCCAGGCCAUUGCGUCCUCUUUAGCUAAGAAGGGUGGAUUUUCUGCUGGUGUUGUUGCUGCACAAUACAAGUACAAGAAGUCUACAGUUGACGUCAAAGUUGACACAGAAUCCAGUGUACAUGUUCUUUUUGUAGUUGCUUUUUCCUUCCCCUAUGCCUCUAUACUUAUUGAAUUACUGAUCUCAUGAUGUUACUUUGGCAGAUUGCAACAAGCAUAACCGUGACUGACAUCUUACCAUCUAUGAAGACUAUUGCCACGUGUAGAUUUCCCGAUUACAAUUCUGGCAAGGUUGUGCUCUGAUUGGACACUCCUGGUCCUGGCUAUUGCAACUUGGUGCAAGUUUUGUGUACACAGUUUUUUCCCUUUUUCUUCUGCAAUUAAGUCGUUCCAUUCUAAUUUGCAGAUAGGGGUUCAAUAUUUCCAUGAGCAUGCAAGUUUCACUACAGCUGUUGAUCUGAACAAGUCUCCAAAUGUUGAUAUUUCCGCAACCAUUGGUACUCCUUUCAUUGCUUUUGGUACAGAAGCAAGUUACAAGGUGGAUUCGCGUUCGUUUACAACGUACAAUGCUGGAGUCAGUCUGACAAAACCAAAUUAUGGUGCUUCUGUAAUUUUGUAAGUUUUCCCCUUCUUGUGGACUCUUUUACAGAAUCAAGAAGUAAAAGAGGAUGGUUUCAUAACAGACUAGCUUUGAGAAUGAGAAACAUAUGUUUUGUAUGGACUGUUGCAAUCAGACCAGUUCUACCCUUCAAUAUGGGCAUUUUUUUUAAAAAAAAUAUUAAUAUUUAGCAUCUUUUUGGAUGUUGUUAGGUUCUAUGCUGCAGUAGUAAACAAUAAUGUGAUCCAAUUUUUUGUGAAUUAAUGGUGUUUUAUUUUUUGGUAGGGCUGACAAAGGAGAUGCAGUGAAGGCAACUUAUUUUCACCAAUGGGAUCAGGAAAAGAGAGGCGUUGCUGUGGCAGAAAUUGCAAGAAAGUUCUCUACGAAUGUCAAUAUUUUGACAGUUGGAGCGUCAUAUGCAAUUGAUCCUCACACACUGGUCAAGGCAAAGCUGAACAACCGCGGCAACCUUGAUACCUUGGUGCAGCAUGAGUUGGCAUCAAAAUCUUUCCUGAUAUUAUCUGGUUCCUUUGACACCUUAGCCAUGGAUAAGCAACCCCGGUUUGGUUUGGCACUAUCUCUCAAGCCUUGAAAAGUCUGUAGUCUAGAACAUAUGGAUGUGGUCUUCUUCCAAAAAUGAAGAAGUUUUUUAGAUUUGCUGAUUCUUUUUGACUAGGUAAUAGGGUAUUCUUUAUUCUUACUUCUUAAUUACCUGGAGGCUAUAUGGACCAUAGUCCUUGGAACAUAAAUUUUAUCUACACUCAACUUUGAUGUGGUUGCAUCACAUAAAGUGAUCAUCCAUAUUGCUUCUUGGAAAAUGAGUCCAUACAGUUGGCGGCCAAAGGUGUUAAUUUUCUUCUCUGGACCAGAAGCUUAAUCUUCAUUUGGAUGACUCGAUGGUGAAUUAAACUUUGGAUUGGAUUUUUUAUUAGUUAUCCGGAAAGUAGUUUAAAGCACCAUUGCCUUCUCGAGAAGGGGAAGUGUUUUACAUGUUGGCCAUUACCAGACCAUUAAACCACAUGCUUGAAACAUAUUUCUAUGGAAAUUUGAGCUGGAAGACGUAUGCCUAUCAGCCAACAGAUUAUUGCGUAAGAGCAGUUAUUAAUAAGUCAAUCUUCAAUUAUUUGGCUAGAAGAAUUCGCCUUAGCAGAGUAGUUCAGUGAUCACAAUCACAUAUACUAUGUAUGCCAUUGUUCAAGGAAAUGUCACGAUUCUGUAUUAGGAGAAAAUGUCACAAUCGCAUAUACUAUUACUAUAGCAACUGCUUUUGUGCCUUUGCGGCCAUGGACGUUGUAUUGAAAACGACGUUUGACAGGGAAUUUACUUAGAUUACAUGAAACAACAACUGAUAUCCAGGCGUUUAUGGUUUGGUCGAGAAAAAUAAUUUUGAAAGACAAAAACUCUUUCCAGAAGAAUGUGGCUUAGCAGCUUUCGUUGUAAAGGCAGCAUUUUUCCACUAGGAAAUUUCUUCAGUCCCGCUCACCUCAUUUGACUUCAUUUCAGAGCACGUUGAAAGGGCCUCAGGCCUGAUUAAGGAGGGGAAGUCUAAAGAGGUUGAUUAAGGGACUAAUAGGUGUACAGACUCGACUAAAUUAAAUGAGUGCUCUAAUAUCAGUUUUGAAUUUUUUUCACUACAGCCUGACCUACAGGCCGAAAGAGAGAUUUAAUCCCUUUUUAGUGGCCACUGAGUUAAAGCUCGGUAGUUGAUCUCAGGUCUGUUAGACCGAGUCGGUUAUGAAUUUUCUGCUGUAUACCAUAUGUUCUAAAAGUGGCUUGGAGGUUUCAACAAACUCUAUCAGGUUUGUGAGAGUAGAUAAAGUCUAGAUGUUUAUGCUUGAUGGUGAGAGUUGAGAAAGCGUCUGAAAGUUUUGACUACUCAAAUUAACGUUGUUGAUGGAGUAUGCAACGCCAUCCAGACAACUAUCGACUGCAUAUAAAUUAUGCGAAAGGAAGAAAUCAUACAUGGCUAGGACAUUUUCAAUGACUUUAAUGGGAAACUUAGAAGGAUGAGAAAAAGAUAAAAAAUUAUACAGCACCACUUGAUCACAUGAAGAGCUAAAAGUCAAUUUUAUUAGAAGAAUAAAAAAAAAAUGAAAAGUCAAGGUUCUCUUUCUUUCUCUUUUUUAUUACGACUGAGUCUUAGGGAUCAAAACUGAAUUCAGACGUUUGUAGAAGUGUGCAAAAUCGAAAAAUUCCAAUUUAUCGCUUGAAUUCGAAUUGAAUUCGGAAUUUCGAAUUUAAUAAUUUUGUAAUUCAAAAUGAAAAUUGAAAUUUCGAUUUCGAAUUGGUUGAAUUCGGAAUUGAUCGAAUUCGGUUUGAUAACGAGAUUUUUCAAAUUUCUUGCAGGUUUGGACCUUAAAAUUCUACUCAGAUAUGGAAUUUCAAAUUGCCCAUCAACAAACAGCAUUUUUAUUCGUUUUGCUUAUUCACAGACACUAACAGCCUUCUUGAAAUAUUACAGACGAUAAAGUCGCUCGUGUGUUAGCUAAAAAUGCAAAAUUCAUAUGUGAUGAUAUCUUUUGGAGGAAAAAUCCUUCAGAUUUUGUUGUGCCACUUCUAAUGGCGGAUUUAUUAGAAGGUUAGUGAAAUUCCAAUAAUGUUUUUAUCCAAAAACAAAAAAUUAUAGACAAAAAUUGUGUCCAACAUCAUCGAUCAAUACUCAGUGGUAGAAAAUGCAAAAACAAGUAGUAGUAUAUUCAUCCAGGAUACAACCAAAGAAAGAAAUAGAACUGUUGUAGAAUUUCAUAAAACAUCGCAGAAUAAAAAUUGAUCACUAGAAUCUCUCUAACUUUAAUAUUCCAAAGCGGAAUGAUCAUGCAAAUGAGUAUAGCUGUGGAACGAAGGAAAACCACUUGAAACCGCAGCUCCAUUUCUCAGUUAACAGAGGGCAUUUGGGAAGCCAGUGCCAGGUCUUCCUAGAAACCUUGUAAUACAAAACCUCAGGCCAAGUGUAGCAGCAAACGCAGAGAAGUCCCUCGUGCCAAAAGCAAUAAACAUGCUCAUACUUGUGGUAGCAAACUGAUAGAAAUUUUUUCACCAUCAUUUCCGGCAGCCUUUCGACUUCAGCCCAAUUUUCUCCAUCUCCGCUCAACUCCCAUAACUUCAAACUCCUUGAAAUCCCAUCACUCCCAAUCCCCCCAAUCAGGUACAAUUUCCUAUCCCCAUCACUGACUAACCUGGCAAAGGCAAGCUGAUUUGGCAAUUGAAUCGGAGAUCUCUCCCAGCUCCCAGUCUCCAGAUCAAAGCAUAAGAUGUGGAAAGGCUCGGUGGUGAUAAAGUACAAUUUCCCUUCAUGGAAUACUCCCCCUUGAUUGUUUAAAAUCAGGUUGAUCCCCUGGAACUGCUGCCAGAGGUGGAUGCCAGAGUCGUAAACAAAAGCAGUAUUUGAUGAUCCAGAAGAAGACAUCAUCAAUAGCUUGUAACCAGUUGACGUAGAAACCAAAGUCAAGGACUCGAAGCUACAGGGAAAUUUGGGGUACUUGACAACUCUUGAAGAUCUUGACAAGAGGUUGCAGACUAUAAAAGAGGAGGAGCUGGGAUGAGAGAAGCAAAGGCGGCCAUGGGAGACGGAUAAAAGGGAACAGGACUGCGCAGGUGAGACCGUGGGAGAGUAGGAAAGAGGCAAAUUGCGCCAAGCGUUCUGGACAGUAUCAUAGAGAGGACAUUUGCAACUAAACUGAUGGUGUGAAAGUAAGAGAAAAGAAGAGAAAGGUGAAGAAGAAGAAGUAGGAGAAGCAGGAGAGUGUUUAGAAAUGAAGGAAGGAGAGAAAAGGAGGGACUUGAAGUGUUUGCAGGUUGAUCUGAGGCUCAAGAACGUUUUCAAUGGAAGAAAUGAGAGGACCCGCUCCAGGAUGUCUUCCGGCAACCUGCUCCAUAUCUCCGGAUCCAUUUCUUGCUCUAUUCUAUUUCUAACUCUAACUCAGGCUAGUAGUAGUUUUAUUUGGGUGUGUGAAUCCAUUUCUUUUUCAAGACUGAGCUAUUUUCCUUGCUCCUCUUUGACCUCCAUCUCCAUGGAUUGUCGCUGGCUGGAGGUUUAUGAAAAGCAUGUGGCCAUACCAUACCCUCGAUGUAUGCAUACCAGACCAAUACAUACAGCAACUGGGGUCCCCAUUUUUAGCGGUCCAGUACCAGUAGGCUUUUUUUUUCUUUUUUUUUUUCCCGGCCCCCCCUUAAAAAAAUUAUUAAUGUGUACAUCGGGUUUCAAACUUUUUAUUUUUUAUUAUUUUGGGUAGUCUCGAGUUUUGUAGUAGUUUAGUAGCUCUUAAAGAAUUGUAGUAAUAUAGGAGUGGUUAUUUAGGAAAGUAAUAUGAGAAGAAACCAAACUUUUUAAAAAUUUAAGAGGGCAAUACUAAGAGAGAAUAAAUAGUACCUCUUGAAAUUGAGGGAAGACAAUUAAUUAACUUGUUCAGGAAAAACUUCAAAAGUUCGUAAAGCUUGCAAACUUGUUCAAUCAUUUUUGGCAAAACUGAGGGGGUCAGCGGCCCACUCUAAUCUCUACAAGCCAGAAGAGUACGUUUUAAAAUUGAGGGAAAACAAUUGUAAGAAAAACUUAUAAAUGUUUGUAAAGCUUUCCAACUUGUUAAAUAAUUUUUGCAUAAUUGAGGGGGGCCCACUGUCACCUCUAAACUCUACUUGGCUCUGCCUGCCUGCCUGAUCGUAGGAACUCCUGCGACCUUACACAUUCACGUCUUAGAAAACAGGUUGCCAACUCUUUGCAACCUUACAUUUAAACAAAAAAAAAAAAAAAAAAAAACUCUUGCGACCUUUCGGAUUUUCUUUCACGUAGACUUCUUCGAUGCCCAUACACAAAAUGCCAGUCACAAAGUAGGCAGCCCAGCUGGGCUCAUUUAAAGGAGUCAACUUCUCUCUUUUUUGUGAAAUCCCAUUCUAUUACAAGGAGAGGAGUCAACUUCCCUGCGGGUCUAUAAUAAACUGCAACUAGCAUCCACCACCAACUGACCCGGAAUCCAUAAAGUAAAGAAAACUGCAUCCAUUUGUGAUUCUCUAGUUGCAUAAAACUUUCUGGCUUCUUAGAUAUACCUCAAAAGUAUAGAAAACUAGAAAAGUCAAACUAACACCUGCUCUUUUUUUUUUUUUUUUUUUUUUUUUUGAAACAACUAUCUCCUGCUCUAAUACUAUGUGUACAACUAAAAACCUCUAAUAUAAUAUUUUACAAAGAAACAGCUUGGCCUUCUAUGUUAUCUAGAAAAUAUAUUGGCAAGCAACGCUACUGAUGAUUAUUAAAUCUUACAACACAUGCAACUUUAGUGAAAGCUAUUUAAAACCAAUAGCAGAUAAUCAUAUAGCAAAGUUAGAAAAUAAAAUAAAAACUUCAAAACCAUUUUGAUUGUUCACUCUCAAGGCCGGCGGUCACAUAAAUGCUAGUCUCCAGGACGGCCACGCUAUACGGCCAUCCCCACAAGCGUUCCAUCUACCACCUCGUCUCUAUUUCAAUAUUUCUGCUGUUCUGGCCCAGCCAGCACCAAGACGUACUUGUAUACCUACCUCCGUUGUCAUUUAUCUUUGGUAGCAACCACACGGCUGGAUGCUGAUUAGCUUGGAACAUGUCAACCUGUCAUAGAGAUUCAAUACCAAGAUCUAGUCGGAACACAAACUAAAGGAGAAAAACAAGAAACAAACAUGACAAAUAUGAAAGAGAUUGAUUUUCCAUAUAGUCAGAAACUUUUGCCAGAUCCAUUUGCAUUUGGAUCUUCGGAACAAGAUAAAAGAAACAGAAAGUCUGUUGGUAUAGAGGAGUUGAUAGAAUCCCAUAUUAAGUUUCUAAAGUACAAUCAUAAGAAAACGUCGACUCCAAGUACAAAUGCAAUAGCCUAUCCACGAAGCUGAAUAAGAAAUAGAAAAAUGAUAAGACAAAACUCUACUUUGUAUGGGACUAUGUACUUAUGGAUCUGCUCUACAUCCACAAUUAGAACUAAAAGAUGGGUAGUCUUUCAAACAACAAGGAAAUUGGACAGCAGCACAUAUAGCAUGAAAUUCUCACAAUUUUCUUCAGUAUCAAAAUUGGGUAUGUGCAGGAUACUAGAUAUAUACACAGUUGAAAAGGGAGAAAUGGGAUUCCGAAAGCUAAAUUACCUUGGCAGGAUCAAAUCUCAGUCACUCCAAUUAUCUUGAUCAAGUGCAGCACCCUGCCCCUUCCUCCACUCAUCCUACAAUUGAACUCAAAUGGUGUAAGGCCCUUGUGCCCAUAAGGAAAUCAUAGCAUGAUUCGUGCACUUUAACUUAAAUCAAUAGAUAAAAUGUGGUGCAAAUUAAUGCAAAAAGCGUACCACUUCACCAGUGGUAAAAUUAGAAGGAGACCAAACCAGAAUCUGUCUAUCAUUACCACCAGUGUACAGUUCCUGACACAGGUAGAAUGAGCUUUGUUAAUUACCAGAUUUAAGGUGCAAACCAAGACAAAAUCCUCUAGAUUAAAUGAAUAGCAACAGCCUCAAGAUUUAACAUCCUCAAUCACUCAUCUUUCUUUAAGGAAAUACAAUAUCUAAACAACAGCUUAAAUGAACAUAUUGAUUAAAUGCAACUCCAGUUGCAUUUAAAAUCUCUAAAUUGAAAAUAUUACCAAGAAUUCUCCAGACAGAUUGAGGGCAGAACUUUCUUAAGAUGCUAAAUGACAAAUGCCCAACAGAAUAAAAGACAAAGCAACACUGCAUCCAUACACUUGUGCAAGCAUACAGACGCAUGCAUGCACAAACACACAGAGAGAGAGAGAGAGACCUGAUCCUGUGCACUAUACCAACAACAGUUCACAUUUUCAUAAUGGCCACGAAAAUUCAUCAACGUCUUGCCUGACCACAUAUCAAAUGCCUAUGCCGUUCAAGUGGAACACAUGGUAAGAGAUGGUUAAGUGUGUAUUAGUACAAAAUAAGAUUUGACUUAAAGGAGAAAAACAAUUACUUUUGCUGUUGUCAUGCAUGGAACAAAAACAAGUGCUGAAUCUUGAGUUGUGGCCAACUGUAAUGGCUUGCUUGUUUGCAGUCGCGUGAUUUCAAAAUUAACUAGCGUAUUGCACCCAGAUUCUAUGUCCCAUAACCUCAACCUAGAAUCAGAACCUGCAACCAGGACCCAGAAUGAGAACAUUAAAGCAAUUAACUUAUGUUUUCUGGCAUAAAAUGCAUCGAUAAAGCAUUACAACAUCUCUGAACAAGUAGACACCACAGUAUUCUAUCCAAAGAUAAGCCAAGGGCUUUGAUUGCUCACAUUAAAUAAAGUGGAUACACCUCCAUCUUCUACGAAUUGGGGAAAUAAGCAAUGUUACUCAAAAUAAUGACAAGAGUUCACUGGGACUUUAUCGAUCAGUUGACUCAAGGUUAUCAUAACUGCUGUCCCAAUUAUGAUCCUAACUAAUGUACAAAAUGCACAUAGAGAGAAAGGCAAUGUCAUGGCUCCUAUAUGGUAAAGGCAGCUACAGAGGGGUGGAGGCAUUGAGAAGAAUCAGAUGCACAUCUCAAGGAAUUUUCACAUCUGUUGACCUAAAGAGCUAAAACACUUGGACAUCAUUUCCAAAUUCUGCAAUUAUAAGCACGAAAUAUAUGACCCUUGUUUUCAGUACUAAGGAAUUCUUGGGGCAAUUGUCAGGUCCUUAAAGUGGUAACCAACAGGAUGUCCAAAUUUCAAUUCAAGAAGUGUUUACAACACAUGUGGAACAAAAUGUUGAAUAAAAAGCAAAUUGAACCUGCACUUAGAAGGUACAUCCCAUCCCCAGUAGCUCUUAAACCAAAAACAGCACCAUAAUGAGCAGUAGCGCGAUCCUGAGUGGACAACAUUCCAGGAUGCAACCUCUGCUUCACAGAACCCUUAAGUUGAGAGGAAUGCUUAUUAAGGCCACCAUGUUUUGAAGAAUUUCCAUUAUUAGUUUUCCUUUGAGGUGGCCGGGACUUUACUGAUGAACUUGGAUUGAUGGAUGAAGAUUUAGACGUUAUAACCUGAGAGAAUACGGUGAACAAUUUUUUCAGAGACAGGAAUGCACCGUAACUGGAGGAAAACUGCAAACCUUGAACCCUAGGAAUUGGCUAUUCUUUAGCUGACCAGAUAUGAUAGAUAAUUGCCUUUUUGACAUCGUAUGAAGAUUAUAAAGCAAAAAGAACUACCAAAAGGAAGAUGACAUGAAUUUUCCUUACACAAUGGGGCGUCUUUCUAAUCAAUAACAGAGAAAAUCUUAAUGCUCGUCUCUCCACCAUAUCUUAAUAGACAACUGUUACAAGCAGGGAUAAUGUAUGUUUCACUAAAUUAUCAUUGCUGGAACAUUUCCAGGGAAAUCAGAAGGCAACAUGCAAACGAAAAUGUUCAUUUGAUCCUCCAGAUUAGAAUAUUAUAGGAUGCUUUUGACACAGGAUGGAAGAGAGAUAGGGACCUUAUUUGCAGUGGAUCGAACCAGGAGGGGAGGGCGUCUCCCAAGCUGAGAGCGAGACUGGUCUAACACAUGGAAGCAUCCAGCUCGCCUGAUGUCCCAGAAACGUAUUGCACCAUCACAUCCCCCAGUUAUCAAAAUCCACUCACUUGAACUAGACCACUCCACUGACAUUACACCAUCUGCAAUGGAAAAAUAUUUUGCAUUAAGGGCCUUUAGAUGCAUAGCUGUACAUUUGCUAUAUUUACAAACUAAAACAAAGGUAAAAUCUGUAACUAAAUGAAUCAAAGGUUAAGGAUGAAGAAUUAAAUAAAAAUGUUGACCACGAUUUUAGAUGAAUGCUCUUAUCCUAGUCUAGUAUGGAACAGGAUCGAACAGGUGCAGUGUAUUAAGGGGGUGAAACAUGUUAUAUUAAAAGAGCAAACACGCAUAUUGGAACGUACAUAAUACCAAUUUCUUGAAACAGAAGGAAUCUACUUCACAGUCACAAAAUUAUUCACAGCAUACCAGUUCCUUGUCAGAUAGAUUCUGGGUGAUGUAUUAUUUUUUAUGCUUUUAAAAAAAUUGCUAGUCCUGGCUCAAAUCCUUUCAUGUGUUUCUGACAAGGUAACAUCAGCUUAAAUGCAAAUCCAAGAUAACAUGGUCAAAGCAUCACACCUCUAAUUAAGCUAAUUAAUCCCAGCAUCUAAGCUUAGGAUCUAAACAUCAAUUCCUACUUCAACCAAAUCAAGUCUAAGCAUUACUUUGAGCCAAAAAAAAGGCUUUAGCCACCAAUAAAAAGUUAGUACAUUUUACAAUAAUAAACGUGUAAGAUGACCAAUAAUAUGGAUUUGAUCUCCAUAUUUCGCACAUUAAACUAGAAUAAUCAGUUCCAGGUUCAAUUCAUACUAACCAUGCUUACAAGCAUUUGCCACAGGAAAGAUAUCCUAUUAUGAUUAAUGAUUACUUGUUUCUGUCUUUUCUUUUCAUUUUCCCUGAUUUUGACAGGGAAUAUGAUUUGGCACAGAGUUUGAUCUGAACUAAAUUUUUUUGAAUCAUGUUAAAAAUGUAAGUAACUGGGAGGUCAAUUCACACAAAACAAAUGUGGUGGAAUACAAAAUACAAUGGAUGUUAAAGAAGAAACCAAAAUGACAGCAAGCCUUAGAUUCAGACAUACCACGGUGUCCAGACAAAGUGUGAGCAAAUGCCCCUGAAGCAAUAUCACAAAGGCGUACUUGAACAUCUUCAGUCCCAGCAGCAAUUAGCAUAUGUGAGGUUGCUAAUGAAGACAUAGCAGUCCUAUAAACCUUUCCAGGCAUUUUAAAGUCCAUUACCACCUAGAAAAUGAAUGAACAGCUAAAUUCAAUUCUAUUGGAUAUUAUUAAAUGGAAAUUUACUGUAGCAUGUAACCAAGAGGAUAAAGCUAGUAGUAUGUAGAGAAAUGUGUACGCAUAUCAAACCAACAGUACCUGUGUGGUAUUUGUAUCCCACACAUUGAUGUGAUGAUCAUAUGAACCAGUAAUAAAUAGCCCUGUGUCGAUAGGAUACCAGGUCACUGAGGAUAUGGCGUAUUUGUGACCAUGUUCAUGUUGCUUGUCAACAACAAAGAGAGACUUGUGCCUAGCAAUAAGACCAUUCCCCUCAUGCGAUGCACAUUGAACAUCGUAAACAGCAACUGAAGAAUCUGCAGCACCAGCCAACAAGUAUCGACCCUCUGUCAAAUCAACCUGAGAUUGUGAUCACAUGAAUGGCCACAAAAAGGUUUCUUUAACCAAAAUUAAAUCUUAAUCACACCUGAUUCAGCAAACAACUCAUCCAAUGUUUGUAUUAAUGGAACCCCCAAUAUCCUAUCAAUAUAUGUACUUAAGACAAUACAGUUUCUGAGCAUGCCUAUUACAUCUACUUCAAGCUGGAAAAGUCGUAUCACGUUGACAUACAAAUAUCAUAUGAGUUAAUUUUUCACCAAGAAAAGAACAACAAAAACUUACAGUCCUAGUAAACACAAAAGAAGCCCAGUUAGAUAGCUAAAUCCCAAUAAGACUUGAAAGACAAACUAAGCUACUUUAUACUCAACCUCAGGCUCAGCUUGAGCUCUGAAUCACCAACUAAUUCAAACAAAGAACUCAGCUAGAUUAGCAUCAAACUUCAAGUUUCAGCAUACAUAAAUCAAGCUACUCAAUUCCAGCUGCCUCCAACAAUAAUCAAGCUGAGUUCGAACGCAUACAGACAAUUUUAAAUUGGCUAAUAAAAAUAAACCAAGCUUGAAAACUUAGCUAAUUUCCGAUCGUUCAACCAACAAAAAGCAAAAUUCAAGUCUUUAAUCACACUCUUCCAUAAAAUUUUCUACAGCGCGAGAUAUAUCAAGCUAAACUGAAUAUGAGCUAAAAGCACAACUACAUUAUCCUAGAACACAAAAUAUCGAAGGCACAAAACUAUUAAUCGCAGUCAUUAUUAUUGCGAUGGCUAACGGUUAAUUUAAUUGAGGUAAAGGAGCUUAUUAGUGAGUAAAAAGCGAACCUGCAGAGAGUUAACGGAGCCGCGGUGAGCAGAGACGAUUUCCUUGUGGUUAGAAAGCUGAAUUGAGGAAUUUCUGCCGGACUUAAUCCUACUACUGAAUAAAUUAGGUCGAAGCUUCCCGAAUUCCCUAUCUCCGAUCUCCUUCCACAUCGUCGUCCUCGCAUCUUCCCCCCGGCCGAUUAUCCAGUAACUAAGUAUCCAAUUCAACUCACUGCAAUAUAUAUUUAUAUGUGUUUAAUCGAAAGGGAUGACUUCUUGAACUAAUUUAUAACAAUCGGUUCUAACUUCUGUGAACAAGCCAAAUCUCGGUGACAUGGUAUUGUUUUUAGUUUUUCAGUUGACGUUUGCUUCUAGAAAUUCGACAUCGUUUUGGGCCGACUUUGAUGGCACAAAUUUUAUAAUUGGACUUGGGCCCAAGCUCCGUGAUCCCGUGGUAAUAAUAGGAAUUCGAUCUUUAAUUUUUUUUAAUCCUUAGUUUCCCGUCCGUAGAUUUUCGGAGCAAGCCCAAAGGCCAGCGCAUUCCAAUAUGUAAAAUACGGAGGCAUUGGAGUUGGGUUUGCGCGAAACGUUAAAGCGUUGAUUUAGGCUCUUAGAUUAUAAUCUUUCUUGCUGCGUUAGGUUCAAGAUUCAAAUCAUUAAUUUAGACCAAUAAUUGGAUAGAGUUGUUAAAAAAGCGAACCAAACUGUUCGGUAGCUCGAUUCCUUUCGACACGUUCGUGUUCGUGAAAACUCGUUCAAAACCUUAAAUGAACCAAGUUUGAACAAAUUUUUUUAUUCGAUUAAUAAUCGAGUGAACGCGAGCAUGUUCGCAAGUUUUAACGAACGUUCGCGAACAUGGAUAUAAUUAUUAUUUGACAAAUUUUAUGGUUAAUUUUAUGGCUAGACUUUUAUAUUUGGAGGGUUUUAUUUGUUAUUUUUAUGUUAAUGUUAGUUAUAUAGUUAAUGAAUAAUAAAAUUUAGUCACUUAGUGCUUUUAUUGUUUUUUAGAAUGAUUAAUGAUUUGUAUGGCAUAUUUAAGGCUUAAAAUAAUUUGGAUUCGAGCAUGUUCGCGAACGGGUCGUUUAUAUUAAACGAGCCGAACAUGAACUCGAACGUGAAUUUUGUUUAGCGAGUUGAACAUGAACACAGGUUUAGAGUUCGAAAAUUAACGAACGAGCACGAACGUUGUUCGAAUCGCUUAACGAACAGAGCUCAAACAUGAGAUACUCGAUUCGAUUCGGCUCGUUUACAGCUCUAUAAUUAGAGGAAGGUUCAAAUCCUGCCACUCAGUGGGAUGAUAAGGAUGUGAAGAGGGGUUGAAUGGGGAAAGAGAAAAAAAAAAGAAGCAUUGAUAUAGAAAAGAAUAAAUAAGUAAGAUUAUUUCAAAGUUUAUGUCAUGGAACACCAUUUUGGAAGUCGAACAUAUUUUGGUCCAAAUUCAAUUGUUACAUUUUCGAGAUCAAUUCAUGAUUCAUGAGCGGAGAGGCAUUGGCAGAUUUAUGCUAUCUUGAGCAAACCACCAAGGUCUCAUCAUCAUGUAAUAGCAAAUAAAGAAGGUGGUUGGAGGAUGGGUGGUAGCAGAGGCGGACUCCUUUUUAAGAGCAAUCAAAGAGUUACUCGUAGCAAAGCUAAAACCCUAAUGACACUUUAAUUGCUUAUCAUGACAGCCUCGUACCAUUUCUUCCCUUGGGGCCUCAACCCCGCAGCAUUAUUAGCCCCACGAUCAAAGGGAACAUCAUCAGUUUUUUUUUUAAUAAAUAAAUUCAAUUGAGAAAAUAACGUGAUUAUUGCUAUCUCAUGCUGGAAGUUAGUUUAACUUUAACCACAAAUAGGAAGAGUACCCAGCGGUGACAUGAACGAGAGGGACAAGACAAGAAGAGAGGGGAAGCUGCUGCCCCCCCCCCCACCCCACUAAUACAAUGACAAAUGAAGUAGUCUCAGUCCCAGGGCUCAGGAAGGUCCCCCCCCCCCUUCCCUCUCUCUCUCUUCCAAAACUAACUGUUUAAGCCUGGGCGAAACAAAAUUACCUAUGCAAGAAGCUCAAAUCAAAUCCUUUUGGUUUUGCUUUGGGCCUAAUUGACGCCCGUUUUAACGUCUUGAAAAGUUGUUCCAUGUUGCAUCAUUGCUUGAUCUUUGACAUUCUGGAUUAGCCAACUGUCGGUUUAGCCUUUUAACUUGAACAAAUAUAAAUUUUUUUUUGUUGAGUUAAGCUAAUGAUAUCAUCAUAAUCAGUCGCGAUUAAAAAAAAAAAAAAAUAGCAACUCGGGGGAAGAUUUUGGCUUUCCACAUAACGAUACCUGUACGGUUUCUUGGUAUAUGCACAUCCAAGCUUUUUUUUUUUAUUUUUUAUGACAUUGGUUUAUUGCCAUGGACUGCAUCAUUAAUUUAGCAUCUGAACAGACGAAUUACUUAAACAACAACAUUUGUUCGGGCUGUCAGGAUUAGCCAGUUGUCGAACAUUUUUCCACCAUUCUAGAGUAGCCGACUUGUUGCUGCUUGUAAGAUAGAGUUGAGAUAAAUAAAUACGUGACAGACAAAUCCCAAGUACGAGUACUAUUUCACCCAUACCAGCAAAAAUAGAAUAGCAUUAUUACCUUUUUCAACCAUUCAUAUAUUUUCUCUUUUAAUUAAAAAGUUCGGGUGAGCUCAAAGGGACAGGUUUUGCUCUUGAGAUCAUAAAUUAUUUACAGAAAUUCUUAUAAAUCUCUCACUACUAUACGGAGUAGUUCUCAAUUGAUAUUAAUUAAUAUUAAAAAAUAUUAAUCAGGCUCAAUUUGGAUCUAGAAGGACACAGUCUUUUUUUUUUUUUUUUGAAAAAAAGAAAAAUAUGAACCCAAAACCUUUCAUAAGUUGGUCAUUUUCUUUGGAUUGAAAAUGUAGUUCUACAUUAGAAGAAUAGAAUUCUCUUGCACUAAGUCCUAGACUGAUGCAAUGAUCCGUAUUGGUGUAUAUAUGGUUAUGUGGAUUGGCAUUAUAGCAGACCCGACAGUCCAAAUAAAUCUGCCACGUGCUCUUCAUUACAUUAAUUGUUCAAUUAAUUACUCUUUAUCUACCUAAGGGUUCAUUUGGGAGUUGAGGAUUUGGACAGAAAAGAAAGGGAAAGAAGAGAAAGUUUUGAUUUUCCUUUGUUUGUGAGUUUUUAGUGAGAGAGAGAGAGAAAAAAAAAAGAAAUGGAAGGAUGAAUACUAGGCAAAAUUUGAGAGAAAUAGAAAGAGAGUUGGAGGAAACUUGUGAAAAUUUUUAAAAAUAUCUAUUUUAUCCUUAAAAACGUCUUGGCUCCGUUUGGAUUAGCUGUUUUUGGGUUUGUUUUUCAAAAACACCACUGUAGCAUUUUGAAUUUGAAAAACAAGUCCGUUUGGAUUAAUUGUUUUUGGGGUUAUUUUUCAAAAACUAUAUGAAAAAAUUUUACUGUAGAUUUUUUUUGGAUUAUUUUUAGAGGUAUUUUUGAAACAUAUUUUUUAGUAUUUUUAGAAUAUUAUAAUUUUUAUAUUUUUAUAUAAAUAUACAUUUAUGCAUUUAUAAUACAUUUAUAUUUACAAAUGUAUAAAUAUAUAUUAUUAUAAAUGUAUAAAUUAUAAAUGAAUAUUAUAUCAAUGUAUAAAUUAUAAAUUAUAAUUUUUAUAUUUUUAUAUAAAUAUGCAUUUAUGCAUUUAUAAUACAUUUAUAGAUAUUUAUAAAUACAUAUAUUUAUAUAUUUAUAUAUUCAUAUAAAAAUAUAUAAAUGUAUUAUAUUAUAUAUAAUUCAUAAUAUAAAUAUAUUUAUAAAUGUAUAAGUGUAUAUUAUUAUAAAUGUAUAAAUUAUAAAUAUAUUAUAAAUUAUAAGUGUAUAUUAUUAUAAAUGUAUAAAUUAAUAUAUUAUAAAUAUAUAUUAAUAUUAUGUAGAAAUGUAUUAAUAUAAUUAAUAUAAAUGUAUACAUGUAUUAAUAUUAUGUAUAAAUGUAAAAUUAAUAUUAUGUAUAUUAAUAUAAAUGUAUAAAUGUAUUAUAUUAUAUAUUAUACAUAAUAUAAAUGUAUAUUAUAAAUAUACAUAAAUAUUUAUAUAUUAUGUAUAAAUGUACAUUUAUAUAAAUGUAUAAUAUAUUAUAUAUUACAUUAUAUAUAAUUUAUAUAACAUAUCAUAUUUAUGUAAAUAUAUUAUAAAUAUAUAAAAAUAUAUUAUAAAUGAAAUAAAAUAUUUAUAAUAUGUAUGUAUAAAUAUAUAAUAUUAGAAAUGUAUAAUAUAUAUAAUAUACAUUGUUAUUAAUAUAAUUUAUGUAUAAUAUACAUAAUUGAAAUAUACAUAUUAAUAUAUAUUAUAAAAAAAUUGAAUAAAUAUAUUUAUAAAUUUAUAUAUAAAUAAAUGUAUUUAUAUAAAUAUAUAAUGUUUAUUUCAAUUGAUAUAAUAUAUAUAAUAUUAUACAUAAUUGAAAUAAAUAUAUUUAUGUUAAUAUAAUAUAUAUAAUAUACAUAAUUGAAAUAUACAUAUUAAAAUACAUAAUCGAAAUAUAUAUAUUAAAAUAUAAUAAAAUAUAAUUGAAAUAUACAUAUUAAAAUACAUAAUUAAAAUAUACAAAUUGAAAUAUACUUAUUAAAAUAUACAAAUUAAAUAUACAUAAUUGAAAUAUAUUUGGAGUUGUUUUUUAUAUAUUAUUUGGAUAUGGUGUUUUUGAAGUUAUUUUUGAAAUACAUAUUUACUGUAGCAUUUAGAAUGUGAAAAACAGUUUUCAAAAACAGGUGCAAAAACACUCAAUCCAAACGGACCACUUGAAUAAAUAUUUAAUGACUUUCAUAUCCAAAAUCAUUUUACUAAUUCUCAAAACUCCCAAACAAUAAUAUAACAAUCCCUUUUAUUCUCUUAUCUUCUCUCGUAACUUAAGUGCUCCCUUCUUCUCUUUUCUAUCCCAAACUAAGCCUAAAGAUGAGUUAGAGGGUCCAAAUUAAUAAUAGUUUUAUUGAGCAAAAAAAAUAUAUUUUUUUAAUGUUUUGAACCAGACCCGAAAACUUGGCCAUGGGAUAGACUUAUUAUAUUAUAUACUAUAUGUGACUACAAUAAAUAGAACCCGUGUGAUUUUGAAUCUCCAAACUCCAUCUCCUUUCCGGGGAAUUAUGACUCCUGCUAACCAAAUUUUGUCAAGAGAGGGAUGCAUCAGUCAUGAACCAGCCUGGCCAAAGAUCUUUGCUUGACCAUCCGACCAAUCUUCUAGAGCACCGUGCAACUGGCCACGAGGUUCUCAUUAUUAGUAAUAAAACUUGCCAGAACAGAUCAUGAGGUAAAUGGUCAUCUGCAAUGCAAUGAUGCUCCCAUGAUAUAAAAACCUUAAAAGAUGUUUUCGCCUCCAACCGUGGACAACAUAUGGUUGGUCAGUCCUAAAUUUCUUUCGGUUGAACGUUACACUACUAGCAUCUUUGAAUUUCGUCUCACUCAAAAGUUUAUUGAAUUACGUGUUCAUCGGUAAUUUCACAUGGAUGACCAAAGAUUAGACGUCCUUCCUUUUUUUUUUUUUUUUUUGGGUUAAUCACAUUUAAUUCUCUUAAGGUAUAUCCCAUUUUUCAAUUUAUCCCUAACCUUUAAUUUUGCUCACUUAACCUCCUAUAGAACAAAAUUACCAUUAUAUAAUUUUGACUUUUCAUUUACCUUGUUUUUAUUUCUUUUUCUCUUUCUUCUUUAUUUAAUUCUUUCUCUUUCCCACAAAAAUCUUCACCUUAAUGAUUGAAAUUAAAAAAAAUGAAUUGCAGAGAUCUAUCUUCUCCUAAAAUGAUUAAAAAAAUAUUCAAAUCACUUUCCUAAAAUACAAAUUUUUUUAUCCUUUUAAUUCUUUUAAUUUUAGAUUUUUCUCUUUCUUUUCUAGUUUCACAUUUUAUUCCCAAGAAAAUAUCUUAAGAUGAAAUUGUGAUAUGAUUAAUGGUCAUCAAUUGAAAUUUGUGACACGUGGCAUCAUACAAAAAAUAAAAAUUAGUUUUUGAUAUCUUUUAAACCUUCAUCCAGAAAUAUGCAAUUACAAACUCAAAAUAAAAAUUUUCGUUGAAAUGGAAUUUUCUAUUGGGAAGAAUGAAAGAGAGAAGAAAAAGAAAAAGGAAUAAAAGAAAGGAAAACAAUUUCAUCUUAUGAUAUUUUAUUGAGAAUAAAAUGAGAAACUAGAAAUGAAAGAGGAAAACCCAAACUUAAAAGAAUUGAAAGGCUAAAAAAAUUGUAUUUUAGGAAAGUGAUUUGAAUAUUUUUUUAAUCAUUUAAGAAGAAAAUAGACCUCUGCAAUUCUUCUUUUUUAAUUUCAAUCAUUAAGGUGAAGAUUUUUGUGGGAAAGAGGAAGAAUUAAAUAAAGAAGAAAGAGAAAAAGAAAUAAAAACAAGGUAAAUGAAAAGUCAAAAUAAUGCAAGAACAAUUUUGUCCUAUAGGGGGUUAAGUGAGCAAAAUUAAAGGUUAGGGGGUAAAUUGAGAAAUGGGUAUACCUUAAGGGGGAUUAAAUGUGAUUAAACCUUUUUUUUAAUAGAUAAUAGGAAACAAUUUUUUUUUUACAUCACAAAUUCUUAUAUUUUAAAUAUUUUUUAAAAUCUCACAGAUAUCACAUUAUGUAGAAUGUUAGAUGUUAUUUUAAUUUUUUAAAAAAUAAUCUUCAAUUCAAAAAUUUUUCAACAUGCCUUUAUGUCGAACAGAUACAACUCAGUCAAGCCUCAAGAAAAUUCACCAGUAUUCUGCAUUGUUCAUCGUUCAUCUAACAGCGUAUGUGUUAACGGCCUUGUUCGGAAAGUAAUUUUUCUUUAAUUUUUUUUAUUUUUCUCAAAUAUAUUUUUCAAUCACUGUUUAUCUUAUAUCAAGUUAGAAAAAUGUAUUAUUCUUGAACAGAUUAGCCGAAAAUCAGAACAAAGAUCAAUUUUCGACUAUCAUUGUCAUAUACUCGUAUAUUAACCAAUUAACCAUCUGCUCAAUUGAGCGACAUCAAGCUCAUGAGCUCAACUAGCUUUCAAAAUAUCCAAAAUAAAAACUACUGGCUACUGGCCCCCUGAACAUUUCAAAGUUGAAACCAAGAUUUACAAUUUUAAAUUGGGUUUUAUACAUAAAUAAUCCACCUGAAAAUGAAAGUGGGAUGUAGAAAAUAUUUUUAGGAUAGUGACAGUCGUACUCCAUAGUUUAUUGUCUACCCAUGAAUUUUGCUGUAUAGGAGGCUGCAAUGAUAGACCAGCAUUUGGCUAUUUGCAGACAGCUGUAUUCCCUUCUGCAUUGCAGUUGGUCCUCUGUACAUCAAUUCAUAUUCCCUUUCGUAUAUUGCUUCUAAAGGCAACAAGCAUCUUUUGGAUGUUCACUGGGGGUGCUCUUUCUAUGCUUGUUUUUCUCAAUCAUUUCUAAAAACAAAGUUAAAAAAAAAGGUUAAUUGAUUUUUCUUUCAUGAGUUUACAGCACUUUUGACUUCAAUAUCAGGUGUUACAACUUUGGAUUCAGAAGCCACAGUUCUUUUAUUUUCUAGUUUAAAUAGAAAUCCUGCAAAUUUAAUGAUUCAAGGUAGGUUGGCACCUAUAAUAAAGUGAUUUUUUCUUUUAAAGUAUAUGUAUUUGUAUGAUAGCUUUUCUUUUACUUUCAAGUAAAGUGAAAAAAAAAAUGUGAAGAUGGAAAUGAUGCAAAGGGAAAGUUUGGUGAUCAGCCAUACAAUGGGAUGCUAAAAAAUAUGACCAUGCUUCUCAAAGUCAUAAAAAAGAAAAAAAAAAAUGCAUAAACAACCAUAACUUAAACCAAAAGAAACAGUGCACGUAAACAGAGAGAAUCUACCAACAGCUGCUGAUUCUGCCAACUACUGCCCAUGCCUGACUUGUCCAAACUGCAACAAUGACCAAGGAGGAAAAAUUGAAAGCCCCUUUUGUACUUUAUGAAGGUCAGCUGCUUACAUAAGCUACAGUAAAACAAAUUUGAAAAACUGACCCUUGAAACUCCACCAAAAACCAGAUCCCUAAUCUCAUUUGAUCAUCUUCAUUUUCACAUUGCACGAAGCCAUGAACCAUUGAAACAGUGACUCCUCAGAAAGAAGUUGCUUUCGUGGCCAUCGUCACACGUCACGUUGCUAUGAAUUACGUAUGUCAAGCCUCAGUCUUGCGGUAAGCCCAAUGCUCUGCUCUCUUGCUUGUCUCGCCCCUGUCACCAUUUCUUUGCCUGGUUUCCUUGGUUUCAAGAAUUAUUGUCCCUAUGCUGCUCCUAGCCAUAGAUUUCGAGUUGCAUUAUUCUUUCUGUUCUUUCUUGAAUUUCAUGGUUUCACUUGAGAUUCUGUGACUUGGGUUUUGGCCAUUUGUCCCAUUAUUUUUAAUGUUUUGGUUUUAAGUUUUGGUCUUUCUAUGGUUGGUCUCUCUACCUCUGAAAUCCUUGAUAGUUCACUCUGAUCAGAUCCACUGUUUUUUCUUUUUAACUUCAAUCCUCUAAACUUGUUCCUUUUGUAAGUAUUUUGUGGGAAAAUUGAACAACAUUCUUGAAUGGUCAAUGGAAUUUUUCUUGAAAGACGUUAGAAAGGCCUUAAAUCUUGAGAAAUGAGCUUUUUCGUUAAUUGUUUUUUUCAGGUGACCAAAAUGAAAAAGAAGGAAACUUUGUGAAAGGUGACAACUUUAGGAUAAAUUUGUUUUGGAAGUUCCAUUAGGAGAAGAUGUUGUGUGCUUGUUCAGGGGAACAAUUUAAGUUUGAAGAGCCUGCUCCGCAGUCUCCGGAGUCGUUGGCCACAAGAGAUUUCUCAGCCAGUGGCCUUUCAUCAAGGAAUGGAACAGGGGGCUGGGAAUCAAAAUUAGAAGAUGCUCAAGUUGAUGAAGUUGAGUCUACCUUGAAGGAGGCACUUUCCUUAAAUUAUGAGGUGCGCCAGUAAGAGAUACAAUUCAAUUUAAUUUUGUAGAUUGCUAUUUGGUUUUAUUCCUAAAUGUAAAUCUGAAAUUGCAGGAAGCUAGAGCUUUGUUGGGGAGGCUUGAGUACCAAAGAGGGAAUUUUGAUGCUGCCCUCCAAGUAUUUCAGGGAAUUGAUAUCAAAACCUUGUCGCCGAGGAUGUCUAAGGCCAUUGCUGAAAGAACUCGGCCCCGAAAGCCACGCCAGAAAGGCGAAAGUUCACUCGUCGGAGUAAUGUCACUGCACUCAGUGAGCCUACUUCUUGAAGCAGUUUUACUUAAAGCAAAAUCCUUAUGGGAACUUGGGAGAAUUAAAGGUAAACAGUUGGUUAAUGAUGACGCUACAGUCAUUUCUCUUGAAACUUGAUAGGAGAUCAUUUCUACAGCAUUAGAGUUGACAUUGAAUCGCAUUGAAUUUAUCUUAGUCGAAUCUUUCGGGUUGUAUUUACAAGUUGUGGUUUUUUCACCCGACUUGGAUUAUCAAGCUUCACUAUGUCAUUCUGCUAUCUGUAUCACUUGAUGAAAUCUCACUCAGCAGGGCACUUGAGUUUAGUAUCUGUUAUUCUACUGGUUAUUAAUGUUUCUGGUCUGGGGAUUCUGUAUGUAUCAGACGCUGCAAGAGAGUGCAAAGUUAUUCUUGACGUGGUUGAAUCAGCACUACCAAAUGGAAUGCCAGAGGGAAUUGGUGAAGAUUGCAAGUUGCAGGAGAUGUUUCACAAGGCACUGGAGUUGCUCCCAAAAUUGUGGAUGCAGGUAGGAUGUCUGGAUGAGGCUAUUACUGGAUACCGAAGGGCUCUUUCCAAGCAGUGGAAUUUGGACCCCCAAAGAUUGGCAAUUGUGCAAAAAGAUUUAGCUGCCACACUUCUCUACGGAGGUUUUGAAGCAAGCCUAUCACCUUGUCCACAAUUACAGGGUCAGACAGCACCAAAAAAUAAUACGGAGGAAGCUCUCCUUCUGUUGUUUAUACUGAUGAGAAAGGUUUUACACGGUGAUAUAAGCUGGGAUCCAGAGUUUAUGGAUCAUUUAACUUUUGCACUAACAAUUUGUGGGGAAUAUGAGUGUUUGGCUGACCACGUGGAGCAAGUUCUUCCUGGUACCUAUAACCGAGCUGAGAGGUGGUAUUUUCUUGCUCUCUGUUACAGUGCUGCUGGUCAGAAUCAGACUGCAAUUGAACUUCUAAAGAAGGUUUCUGGAUGUUCAGAGGCUAAACACAAACCUCACUUGUCUUCGCUUAUGCUGGGAGCAAAAUUGUGUAGUAAAGAUCCAAAAGAAGCUCGUGAAGGAAUAACUUUCGCCUGUAAAGUGAUUGAUGCCGCUAUCAAUCCAAAUGAGCAUUUAUUGGGACAGGCACGUAAAUUUCUUGGUAUCUGCUAUGGUAACGCAGCAAGAAUUUGCAGUUCAGACACUGAAAGAGUAUUUUUCCAAAGAGAAUCACUGAACUCUCUGAAUCAUGCAGCUCACAUUGACAAGGAGGACCCUGAGGUCAUGUUAAAUCUUGGUUUGGAGAAUGCCUUCCAAAGAAAUUUGGUUUCAGCUUUUGAUAAUGCAAUUUCGUAUUCAAACAUGUUGAGCGGGAGCUGCGCAAAAGGUUGGAAAUUAUUGGCUCUAAUUGUAUCUGCCCAGCAGAGACUUCAAGAUGCUGAGUCCAUAGUUGACCUUGCUCUAGAUGAGACUGAAAGGAUUGAACAGCUAGAACUUCUACGGUUGAAAGCCAUUCUUCAAAUAGCUCAAGAGCAGCCCAAGCAAGCCAUAGAGACCUACAGGAUUUUGCUAGCUUUGGUUCAAUCACAAACUGAACUUCAAGCUCCAAACAGCAGCGAAGAGGUAGGUUCACGUGCCUUUUUUUCUUAGAGAAAAAUAGAAUUAAAUGAAAUAAGGUUAACAAAUUGUUGAAAUAUCUCUUCGAGACUCCCUAUGUACAAAUAUUAGAGCCUGAAAUCUAGCACGUCCUUAGUUCUUGUUGUAUGAUACUACUACCAGAUAAAGCUGCUGUUGAGUUGAAGGGCAUGGAAAUAUGAAGUUGGAAGUCUAAAAAUCCCUUUGUUGUUCAGCAAGAACUAAUGCAUAAUAACAUUCUCUUGCUCUAGAGGUAAAUUGUGGAAGAUAAACUUCUGCCUCAAAGUUUGUUUUUGCGGAAUUUGCAGGUAGUAUCAAUUAGAAAAUUGGAAGGAGAAGCUUGGCUAGAUUUGGCUAGAAUCUACUCAGACCUCGAGACAUGGCCUGAUGCAGACAUAUGCAUCGACAAAACAAAGGCAACUAAAAUUUUCAACUCUCGGGGUUGGCAUACAAAAGGUCUGAAAGGCAAUUUCCAUAUUAAGUGAUAGAAACUUCAGUAAAUUCUGGUUUUAAAGUGACCAGGGAGACAUUUUUGGUAUAUAUCUGCAGGUACAUCAUUUGAAGCUCAAGAACAAUACAAGGAAGCUCUUGUUGCAUUCUCAGUUUCACUCUCCAUAGAGCCAGAUUAUGUACCAAGCAUUGUCUCAAGCGCUGGAGUGCUGAUAAAAUUGGGUAGACAGAAUCUUCCUAUUGCAAGAAGCUUGCUGAUGACUGCUCUCCGACUAGAGCCGACAAACCACGAUGCCUGGUUCCUUCUGGGAGUGCUAUCCAAGUCUGAAGGCUUGAAACAAGCAGCCGCAGAUUACUUCCAAGCUGCACAUGAACUAAAGCUUUCUGCUCCUGUUCAAGACUUUGCUUAACAACGCAUCGAGCAUCAAGGUUCCAGAGAUAAAGGAACUUCUAUUGGGACCUUAAAUGUUGGUUUUGGCUUUUAUAUACUGACAGUGUAGACAAUUAGUUACAUUAGCUGGUGUAAAUUCUGUCAUUUAACCACCGAUACCAUUUUUGGAUGUUAUUACUAAAUUCUACACUGUCAGUAUAUAAACAAUUUAUACAGUAUUUGCUCUAGAGCGAACAUGAAAGAUCAGCUCACAUUACCAGAAUCAGUGUACAAAGAUUUCAACUAUCAACUAGCAUUUUGAAUAGUCAGAAAAAGUGAACAAAUAGACCCUUUGCGAAUUGAAUGGGAAAGUCUGAUACAUAGCCUCCAUGUUACAGUCAUUAUUUAGAAUCAUGGUAUUGCGUACUCUAAGAAUCAUAGGUGACCUUCCUGAUUUUCCAGGCACUUGGAUGCCCAAGCUUCUUUCUCUUCACAAAUAUUGCAGAGGCACAUUAGCCAACCGUUGUGUUGUCAACGAGAACCACCAGGUUGCCAUCAUUGGUACAAGGCAGGCAAUGACAUACAAAGUUUAUGUACCAUAUAACUAGGAAAAGAAAUCAGCCCACGAAAUUAAAUUCAGCAUCAGCUAAAAAGUGAUAAAUCUACAAAUAAGGCAAAGCGCAGGGUAAUCAACCACAAAGUCAAUAAAAAGUGAUUCCGUGGUACAAGUUAAGCAUAGUUCCUGCUUCCUGACAAAUGUAGAAUAAAAGAAACAUGAAGUUCAACAACUCAGUUCUAACAUAAGCUACAGCUACUGUACAGACUACACACGAACUUCACAUUCAAAUGCGAGAGAUUUUUAUUUUUUUAUUCAUAGGAGUAUGUUUAAAUAAGGUAAUUUUCACAACUUCUCUUUGAUUCCAGUCUAUCUACAGCUUAUUGAGAGGAAACCGUAAGCAAAGAGACUAGUCCAUGUCCUGCCAGGAGCUUGUAUUAACAUCCCUUUCUCCUCUUGCUGUUUUAUUGCCAUGAAAACUGCAAAUAAAUAAAAAAAAAGUCAUUAUUGCAACUGUCAGUAGAGCACUCCUCCUUCACUAGCACCACUUGCAUGUUUGCAUUCACUAGUUCUGACUAAUAUCUGAUCCUUUCAGGGAAAAUUAUCAAUAAAUCAUAAACUACAUCUACAGAUUUAAAAACUAUGUAGUAAUAUAGCUGUGGGAUGGAAACUGACAUCACAUGCAUUUCAGAAACCAAUAAUUAUCUUUAGUAACAUAAUUGCAUAGUUGCAGAAUCUAAAAAGAUUACAAGUUUUUAGUUGCAAUCAUUUAUUUUGAUACAGUAUGGUGCAUCAUCAUUCACUAGCAUCAUCAACAUGAAGCCCAAACACAUUUUUAAUAAUGUAAAGCUUAGUAGGAAUCUAAUGAGUUGUAAUGGACUGAUAAAAUUUGAAAGAGAUAUUUUAUUGCUUCUGAUGUCCUUGAUACCUCCUCUAAUACACGACAGUUUUUCUAUUUUUUAUUUUUAAGGAACACAUAAGUGCAUUUAAAUGCUGCAAAAGAUGUAGUAAAAUUGGCAGAAAAGUACAGAAGGAUCCCUAUGAAUACUCAGAUAAAACUCCAGUAGAAAAAUGUUAAGAAAGUGCGAUAGGUCAACCAAUCUCCAAAAAUGUCCCCAAUUUCUAAUCAUGUUUAUCUAAAGAAGAUUGAUGAAUAUGUAAUAGCAUUCUUCCUAAAACAUAAAGAUCAAACAGUCAGCCAGGUUACUUUCUUCUAUUCCUUUGUGCAUGUUUUACUUGAGUAGGCACCAUUAACACAAGUGACAUCAAUAAGCAAAGUAUAGAACUUUUCUAUGCUGUAUCCUCACAACAGUGUAGCUCAUUCCCCACCACUUAGCUGCACUUCGAAAAGAAGAUCAAGUACAUUAUCCUAAAACAAAUACAUCAUGUAUACUGUGAUACCUGCCCUACAAUGGGCCUCACUCAAACAACAAAACUCAAUAAACUGGUGAAGAAAAUUCAUUAGUAAAUUGUAAACCACCUACAGCUAUGCAUCAUCUAUAAGAAACAACUCUAGACAAAACCCCAAAAUUUUUUUUUUAAAAAGUACACAUUUCACAGCAUCACUCAAGUAUCAUACUAAAUGUAAGCUUUGCGCUAUAAAUUAACAAUAUGUUCAAAUAAAUGAUAAAAUGUCUGUGAUUUGAUAAAGGAAGCUCGUAGUUACUCACAAUACAUCAACAAUAGCAGUAAACUGCAAAUACAUCAACUUGGAGGGAAAUAAGAACAAAAUUAUCAACUGAAUCAGUUUACAAAUCUUAAUCAGUUGAUCCAUACUCACUGUGUUGGGUGGAAGACAAACUGACAAAGCAAAACCUUAUCCCAUCUGCCACUGCAUCCACAAAAAUGUAUUAGCAGCCGGUUUAAGUCUGAUAUGCCAUUUACGUGUUACUAAAUAAACUUAUCCAGACAAAACAAGUAUAAGCAGCCAGUCCAAGUCCAAUAUACCAUUUGCAAAUUACCAAAUUAACUUAUCCAGAUCAAAGUAGUACGCCUGAAUAGUAUAAGCUAAAGAACUAUUUCCACAAGGGGGAAAUAAUGGAAAAUGACCCACAAUGGAAAGAGAAAAAGACAAGCAUCGUAAACAGACACAUGUUGUAAGAUGAGGCCAGAAGCCAAACAAAUCAUGAUAUAAUCGGAAGUAAUUGCCUUGAAAAAACCAAAAAAAAAAGUACCUUUAAAACGGGUUCGCCCUUAUUUGUGUUAGCAGAUUGCUUAGCAAUGGCUGCUUGUUGAGCACGAGCAGCUCUUCCAGCAGGAGAUUGCUCAAAUUGCUCUUGCCUGCACAGGUCAGUGCAUGUUAAUCAAAGCCAGUCUACUGAAAGAAUCCAGACCUCUUGUGAAGGUGUGGCAGUUUAAUUUCAGAGUAGACAAUUAGAAUAAAAUGUCGGCAGCCUAUUUAUAUCAGCAGAAAAGGACAACAGUCAAGCAAAGCUACCUUACUAAUUGGAUUGCAAUCACAUAUACAAAAGAUCAGGCGGCAUAUCCAUUUUCAUCAAAACCAAUUGAAAAGCUAUACAACAUUGUUUUUGUCAAGACACAAACUUCUCAUUUUUCAACGACCCUUUAUCCUCUUAACGUUAGAAAAGUAAAGUUUUUUUCCUUUUACAUAAAGGUACUUCCUUUUCCUGAUUUCAAAUUCAAAAAAAAAAAGGAAGACUUUAUACGUAAUAGUCUUCCAUUUCCUGAUUUCCCUUCAUAUUUGAGCACGAAUGAGAAAUCUGUUGAAAACAUCAGAACAUGCGACAAAAUCCUAAAGCAAUUCAAAUCCAUUCUUCUUAAUUAUCACGACUUUGAGUCAAUUCACUCUAUUCAAGGCCCUUCAAAGUAACUUAAACCACAAAACAUUACAACCAAAAGAAAACCCAGAUGAUAAACUAACAUCAGCAAUGAAAUUAGCAUUGAUUAAAAAUCAACAGGAGCGAAGAGUAGUAUUGGCUUGCCUUUUCAGGGCGGCUUCGGCAGCUUUAGCUUUGGCUUCUUGAUCCUUUUCGUUCCGUCGUUGUUUGCUUGCUCCUCCAUCGAAGCAGGCAAAGCAACCCAUGGCCAUGAUUGUUUCUCUAUUUCAGUCAAUUUGCUUUAGACUUCACCUUUUCUAGAUUAGAUGUUGAGUUUAUCUUUAAUCUUUUCUCUCUUUUGACGAAAACUUUGUAUUAAUGUUUUGACGCGUCUGAAGAGCAGAAGAAGACAAACCCACGUGGCUUUCCAUUUAGAUGUAAACAUCUUCUGUAACAAAGUGAAGACGCAAUACUUUAGGAGCAUACAUAUCACGCCUUCAGUUAUGCUGUUGCUAUAAAUACAAGAGAGUGAAAUAAGUAGUAAAAAUUGCACAAAUUAGUCUCUCACAUUUGAGAUUUGUAUCUUUUUAGCCCAUCAGAUAUAAAAUGUUACAUUUUCAUCCCUCACAAAUGCAAAAUAAGUAUGCAUUUUCAGUCAUUUAGCUCAAGUUUUGAUCAUAUUCAUGCUUGAAAAAGUCACUGUAUCUCACUAAUUACAAGCAUUGGAGGCAAAACCAAAAUCUUUGCCUCCCUCUUGCCUCAAGCAUGUCUAUAAAAUUCUUGACUCGUGAGGAGGUGCUUGUAAUUUUUUUUUUAGAUGAGUAAAAUUAGAACGAGGGACUAAAAAUGUGCAUUCUAUAUUUGUGAGGAAUAAAAAUACAUCAUUUCAUAUACGAAGUACUAAGAAGCUAUAAAUAAAUAAUAUGAGGGACAAUAUGUGCUAUUUUCUACUAAUAAGCUUGUAGGAUCUUAAUUAGAUAUUUGCAAUCAUAUAAAGGGGCUUGACAAUUAGAUAAAUCCAAGAAAUCAAUGGCAUUAUUUGGGUAUAAUCAGGAUUCUAAUAGAAUCAAUAAUGACUCUAGUAUCUAGUUUUCAAAAUUUUUUUUAUUUUAAUAAUUUUGAAAUUGUAUUUAAAGUUUACCUUAAAGACAACGCCUAUCAUAAAGGCCUUUAAAAACGUGGAUAACAAUGCCGUACCAGAGUCCCGCCUUCAUCACCCGACCUUGACGAGACAGGAACUAGACAAUUUGACGAAACCAAGCGACAUCGUUUAUGUGAGGCACAGCCGCACAGCACAGAUUUGCAACAUUUUUCUUCUUCCCGGUUCCCUCCAACUUCUUCAGCCAGCCAGCCAGCCAUCCAGCAGACGCGUAUCAAAGGUCAGCGGAGUGAUGAGCAGCGGUCCGGCCUUAGAUUCAUUAGGUCCAUUGGAUUCUCUUCAUCUCGAAAGCGGGCUCUCUCUAGUCCCCCGAAUCAAGCUCCUCUUAACCGUUUUCCGCUCCGACAAAUCCGUUUCCCCAAUCGACGACUGGAAAGUCAAGCGUUCAAUAAUCGACUACUUGAAAAAUUCCCACUCAAUCACUAUCCCUGAAGAUAAUGACGACCUCCAGAUUCGAAAAUUCAAGGACUUAAAGAAGCGGAAACGCGAGGACCCCGUCGCUCGCGGCAGCUUAGUGAUUCGGGAGCUAGGGUUUUUGUGGAAGACUUUAGGGGUCAAGAAGGAGGAGGAGAAUGAGAGAAAUGAGGAGUUGGAGAAGAAGUAUGCUGAGUGGAGGAGAGGCUUGGUGGAGAAAAUGGAUGGAAUGGAGUUGAAUUUGGAAGGGACUAAGUUUAAAUUGAGUGUGGCAUUGCCGGCGUCUGAUGAUUUUGAGGCGAUGAGGAAGGAUUGGGAGGAAAUGGUAGCUUUCGGUACUCGAGGUUAGUCAAGUCUCCCCCCCCCCCCCCAAAACAGGGCCCCAAAAAAAAAAAAUUCUUUUUCCUUUUUUUUUUUUUGGGUUGUUGCUAUGCAUGCUUCUGGUUAAUUGCAAUUUGCAACAGUUGGGUAUAUGGUGAACUGGGAUGCUGUUUGAUCAAUAAAGGGAAAGAAAAAGUGAUUAUUUGAGAGUUAAAGAGAAGCAAAAGUAUUUAGAGUUGAAAUCAUUUCUCUCAAGGAAACUAGGAAAAAGGGAUUUCAGAAAUAAAUCUUGGUGGUAUAGUGUGUCGAAUUUGUUGCCGGAUGCAAAUUGGCUUAGUAAAACCGAGCUCGAGAAUGUUGGAGCUAAUUAAGAUUUAAAGUAGUUUUUAAUUUGAGUUCAAGAGGUAUAUUGCCAAGGUUACCUGAGCUUAGAAUUGCUUAAUUGAGCCUUGUUUUACUUAAUCUGAUUGGGUGUGGCAAUUAACUUUGUUGGGUGGAUUUGGACUGAGUAAUGCCUUGGUUUCUGUUGCUAAAAGAAAUAUUGCUCGUGUAUUAGUUAAUUAUAUAGGCAACGCCUACUUUCUUUCUCCUCCAAGCUUGGUGCUUCAUAUCUUACAUGAUAAUUUAGGUAUUCAAGCUUUGAGAGAAUUUCUUUUUGGCGCAAUAUUUGGAUCUGAGAAAACCUCUGAGGGAUGACUUUAUUUUUCGUUCUCUUCUUCUUGCUUUUUAUUCUACUAAAUUUUGGAGAUUAUUGUAGGAUACAGUAGAAGUAGCAGGCAGCAGCCUGACACGAUUAUUUUAAGAGGUGUACCCUCUCGGUGGUUUGCUGAGCCACGGGUGUCAUCUAAGCCCUCCAUGCUGGUGACACAUUCAAUAAUCUCUGCUUUUGGACAAAUAAGGUGUGUACAUAAAGAACUUGAGCAAUUUGGGUAAAGGAAUUAGUAAUUGUCAUCAGAAACAAUGUUGGACUCCCACAUAUAAAUGUCAUGCGGACUAUCUUUGAAUACUUGAUACUUCAGUCUUACAGGUGUAUGGCUGAUUUAGGUGAUGGGAAUAGCUUAUGCAGAUUUCUGAAAGCAUUUUUUGGUCAAUAUAUUUGUGUAGUGCAUCAUUAAAUCAUCAGAUUGGGCUUUUAGCGGACUUCUUAAUGUGUCCGAAUCAUGGUUUUCUUGCUUAAUCUGUAAAGAUUAUCAUGUUUGUGCUAGUAAUUCGUUGUUGAGAAUUAUAUAUCAGUUAUGCUGCAAUUGCUUGAACUGGGAAACAUGCUUGCAGUGUGUAUGCCUUCACUUGGAUUUAGGAGACUGUAUUAAAGGCAUUGAUGAAAUUUUGGGGCAUGAUGUUUGAUUAUUUGUUUGCCCUAAAAUACACAUAAUACAGGGUGUGCAAUAUCUUGUUUGACACUUGUUUCUGUUCAUCUUUCUACGAAAUGCUUCAGAGUUCGUGGAUGGUCUCCACUGUUUGCUAGUUUCUGACAGUUUCUUAAAAUAAUAGAAGGAUCAGUCAUUGACCAUAUACUGAAAAUUACUUGUCUGUUGAUUUCUGCUCUGAGCAAGUGGUGUUUAAUGUUUAUGAUUGUGGACCUGUUGUCUGGCCUUCACAUUUUGCCUUGCUGCCUCUUAAUAGAAAUUCAGUUACUAAAAUGUUUUCUCACUGCUAACUUUGCGUCAUCAUUAUAGCUUUCUCCGUGAACUAGAUUAGGUAGGCUUAGAGUAUUUAUUUUUCUUUAAUCAUCAAAUUAGGUCUAAGAAUGUGAUAUUAACUCUUAAUAAUAAUGAACCAAGACAUGGUGUUCCUAUUCCUGGGACAAGUGGUUAGUCCAUGAAUUUAUUUGGUGCUAUAACAUGAAUGCAUUUCUCAAAAUUUUAUUGUUCAUAUUUCAUAACCUGAUAACAUAAUUCUGUGCUGUGGGUAGGAAUCUUGAUGUUGCUGAGGACAAUGGUUAUGGUGGGGAUGCAGAUGAGGAUGGACCAGAAAUAGUUCCAGGUCUGCAGUGUAAGAUUGUUGUGAGGUUCGAAAAGUACAAGGACUUUUACAGUGCUUUGAAAUUCUUAUGUGGACGUUCAUUCCAAAAGGUAGAUAUAUGAUUUCUCUUCUGAUCGUUGAUGCUUUACGUCUCCACUUCUAAACCUUCUUCCAAAAGAUUAAAGAGAAUAGGAAUCGGAGAAUAGGGGAAGAAGUAAAAAAUUUCUACUUGGGACUUUGAGUAUCAAAUGAUACUCCAGUUUUAUAGAUCUUGAUAAAAUGCUCAAGUGCAGUAAUCACUUUAUGUUCAUCUUCAUUGGAUGUUUUUGAAGAGUAACCAUUUUAUGAAGGUGAUUAAAUGUAUGCAAGCUGAAUACUUUUGAAACAGAAAUAUGAUAAUGUUAUACGUUCUGUUUUUGUGCUAUUCCUUUUGUUGUGAUUAGUCAUAAAACCAUCAUAUUAACUGACAAACUUCUUGAUAAUGUCAAUAGCUUGGGUAAGUAAUUUUCUGAAAGAUAACGGUGACUACGUUUGGAAGAUUUAUGUGCCACAGUAAGCUUAUUCUGUCUCACAUUUGCUGAGUAAUGUAAUGUAUGCAACUUCACCUGCUGCAUGCAGCAAGGAUCACGUUUGAGGGCUGAUUAUGAGGUUACAUGGGAUAAGGAUGGAUUCUUCCGGAACUCAAGAACACAAACAGAAGAAAGAAGCAGAUGGGAGCCUGCUAGGGGGACUGGGUUGGGAAAUUAUAGAGGUGAAGCUCCUCGCCGUAACUAUCAUGGGACUCGGUUUAGCCCGGAUGAAGCACGUCCAAAACGGUUCAGGGUUAGUGUUGCAAACCUUAUUAGCAGCAAAAUAGAAUAACUAAAAUGGAGUUUGUACGUAGAAGCAACUAUAUUUUAUCAUGAUGUUUCUCUGGAUUGGAAUCUCUUGCUGUUAUCAGUCCCCACCCCUCUUCGCUUCAAUUACUAAUCAAAUUGAAGGAUCAAGUACAUUAGCAAGUUCUGACUCACAUCUUUUUUUCCACUGCAGGAAUGAGGGGAUUGGUGAAAGUCUUGGGACAAACGCCUUGACGUUCUCAUGGUUGUUUUGAAGGCUUUUUUAGUGGGUAUAAAGGUCACAUAUCAUACUAUUCAUCUGGCUUCCGUUGGGACAAGGGUUUCACUUGCCGUUUCUGCUCCGCUAAAUUGUCUGGUCCAAUUCGUAUCUACCAUUUGGUGUAACAGUAAAGGAAGAUUAUUACAAUUGCUUGACCAAAUUUAUAUAUUAUAAAAGGAAGACUUUGGCAAUUGCUGUGUGUAUUCACGGAAGUGUGAAAAGGAAAAAAAAAUGCCCUUCUUCCUUUCGACUUCAUUAUUGCACAUUGACCGUGUGAAAUGCGGGAAAUUACGGGCAUGGGUGUCAAAGAUGAGCCUGUGAUGUCUGCGACAAACCACCCUAAAAAAAUCAAUCAAUUGGCAUGAAAUUUUUGUCGAAUUACGACUGAUACACUUUUGGGUUGAACUUUCAUCAACAAUCCUUGCCUGUACAUGGCUCUUUCGAAAUCAUUGGAAAUGGGGCAGGAACGGUUGUCAGUAGAUUCACGGUCAUGAUGUGGUUUCAAAAAUUUGUGCGGCUCAGAUUACAGCAUGUAAUUCGAUUUUCACGUCAUGUGUGGGGCACACAAAAAAGUGUUGUAAAAUUACGUCGUGUGUAAAGUAAGUUACAUUGUGUGCAAUGAAAGUUACGCGUAGUGAAAAAUAAAUACAACCUGCAACCGUUUGUGACCCUUGUCCGAAAUCAUUCAAAUCUGUUUCUCUUUUCCAGAAAAUUUCUAACUAAGGGCAGAAAUUGCUCCUUGAAUGAUAGAAGCUUCUUUAACUUAGGCGCUUGUUAAUUUGUAGUUUAAGACAAUUAUAGAUAUUUUCUCUUACCAAUCGUGGAAUGUUGUGUGCGCAUUCAAAUGACCUUGAAUUUACACGAUUGAUGUUGGAUUCAGAGCUCCAAAACAGCACAUGGGCUGCUUCUACAUUAAUCUAGAAGUAGUGAUGUCAAAAUGGGGUCUAAUAUCCAGCGAUGUAACUCCUUGGCGUAUAAAUGCCGAUUCUGAAAAUGAGACAAUUGAAAUUUAAGCGUAAUCGUCACUCAUUUGCUUGGUCAAAAGAAACCAACUUAUAUAUAAUUAUCCUAAAAGAAGCUCAGAAUAAAUGGACAGAAGACCUAUAAUUUAGGUUGAAGAAAAAUAGAAAUAGACGGAAGAUCUAGAUAACGAUGACAUUUAUCCAUGUAGGUUUGGCAAUGAACAUUCUCGGAAAUAGAAAAUGUUUCUUUUGUGUCUUGUUUGUAUUGUUGUUUUUCGUUGAAAAAUUACGUUGUUUUUCGUAAUUACAUUUUUUUAUUACUUUUUUCCCUCACAUACAUCAAAUCGAUAAAGUAAUUUUUCCAUGAAAAAUCAUGAAAAAUGCAAUCCAAACACAAUAAUAUUUUUAUUUCCCACAAUUCCUCCUAGAAAUGACAACACAAUUUCAAAUCAAAUGAUUUAUGCAAGCAAUCUGUGAAUUGCGGCAAUAUGUGCUUUAGUAUUUGCCUUCAAUGACUCAAAAGUUCUCCAGACUGAGAACUGUUCAAUUUGCUUUUCUAAGUUAUCAAUAGUGGUUUAGUAGAGUAGUAUAUUGCUUGCGAAGAUAUCAAUAAUGCCUAUUUCGAUGGACUACGCUACAUGAAAAGUGAAUCUAUGCACACCAUCUAAUGACCGAGUACUGCUUCGCACCGCCAAGAACUUGUCAAGAAAGUAAAAAAAAAAUAUAUAUGUGUUGAACAUAACAUCCGUUCCCAUGAUUGAAAUUUCUGGUAACCUCAGAAAUAUGUUAAAUGUGGUGGUUAGUGCUAAUUCAUACUUUAAUGAAUUCAAAGAAAAAGGGGUUUAGUGACAAUUUUGUAAUCAUGAAAUCAGUGAUGACAUAUCUAUCUUUGAACAUGGAAUACAAAUGGUUUGCUUUCCAUUCAUGUCCAGUGAAUAAUUUACACUCAGGAAAUCUUCAAAGAUGAUUGCUUUCCAAUCCAAACAUAAACAAACUACAUGGUACAACAACAAAAUAAUUUACAAAAGAAAAAAAAAGGUUACCGUAGCGAGAGGAAUUCACGAAGGAAAAAAAAUAUUUUGAUCAAGAUGCAGAUUCAUGACCAGCUCUUCCUGUGACCAUGCAGCGUGGGUGUCUUUUCCGCUGGUCCACUUAGCACACUAUCUGGAGAAGAAGGAGCUGAAGAAGAUGAUGGUGAUCCAUCAUUUGCCAUGUUCUUUUCGCUUAAAUAUCUUCUUACGUGACGAUUCUUCUUCUUUGGAAUGUCAGAACUUGAGCUCUUCUCCUGCAUCACGGGUGCUAAGUGCUCAUUCUUCUUCUUCGGUCUCUCGGAACUUGAGCUCUUGCCCUUCAUCAGAGGUGCUAAGUACCACCCAAGAGUUGUGCAUAGUAUGGCAAACGAUUUUCCAUAAAUAAGUAGGAACAGCAGGAUCAGGACUACUGUCACGGGCAAGAAGCCUAACGUGUGCCUCCAAUUUUCAAAAACUAAGCUCCAAUUCCAGCUCUUGGCUUUCGGUCUUUGGAUCGGCUCUUCUUUUGGUUGUCGAACUUCAGGACCAACAGCUCUUGAGGCCUCGAUGCUAUGCUUGUCUCCUGCCUCCGAGCUCGUCAUCAUUUGCUUAUCUUUGGCAUUUUUGAUAGCUGUGUUUUCUUGCCUCUUUACCUUUACUAUUAUGGGCUUCCAUUCGUCGGAUUUUGAAUUGUUGGAAUUCGAAUCGGUGAAGUAGACGAAUGAGAUGUCAUUUGAGCCUUUUUGUGUGUAAAUCUUCUUCUUCUUGUCUUCAAGUUCAGCUAGGAGUGCAUGGAACUUGUCAAGACCUUGGUUUGCAUAAGGGUUUUUGCUAUCUCUUCUUUUACCACGAUGAUCAUGAAUAGCACUUUUUGAUCUGUUGGGACUUCCGCGUGGGCUUAAAAAUUCAUCGAAAUCAUCUCGUUCUUGAUUCUUGAAGCUGCCACAACUGAAGGGACUGCACAUCUGGAGAGAGAGGGAAAUGAUACUUUGGGAUUUGGUCUGUAGGAUUGUUUGUAGCUAGGAUUGACUUUGAUUUUGAUGGGAUUUAAAAAGAUCGAGACAGAAAGUGUCCAGCGCUCAUCGUGGCCUCUCUAGAAGAUUAGAUUUAGGACUGAGCGAAAUGUCAAAUGAAUUGAAUUGAAGUUCUGAGAAAUGCUUGCAAUGGAAGUCCC